rnacentral:lncRNA from 1 species
GCAGAUACGUGCAUGUACCCUUUGGCUCCGUGGCAAAAUAUUAUUCAUUGAUCGUAAAGAAGAAAGAUUCAAGCUAUAAAAGCAACAUGGAUUCUAUCACUCCUCAAACUCUUCUUUUUAAUUUAAGUUUGCUAUGAAAUGCUACGCGGUAGGUUUUAGGGGUUCAGGGUUUAGGAUUUAUAACUUGAUACUAAUUAGAGGGUUCUUUUUUUGAGGGGGGUUUUAAAUACUGUCUUCUCCUACACAAGCCGUAUAGUAUCACCAAAUAAUAAACCAACAGACGUGCAUACGAGAGAGAACAUCAUCUUUUGGUUAAAGAACUAAAAAGAAGAAAUCAUUACAGGACGUAAUGACGUCCAUUCCAAGGAAUGUCAGAAGACAUGUACCUCCGUUGGCAAGACAGCCCGCAUUUCCUUAGUGGGUGCCUCGAAGUCGGGUAUUACAAGGACGAAAUAAAGAUCCUUUCCUCCAGGAAAACUAAGUGGUAUGAGAUGGAGGGGGUCGUAGCUUCGCACUAGAACAAACCCUCCCAUGAGUGAAGGAGCAACAUUAUCGGCAUGAUAACCACUAACGGUAGCCUCCGAUUCCAAUCCUGCUUGAACAAGCUGUGCCUUGCUUAGAGGACUUCCGAACAAUCCAUUUACCUGCAGUUCAAAUACAAAACCUUCACGACCUAUCUCGACAAAAAAGACAAAUUACAUGACUUGCUGUGAAUACCUUUAUGUACUACUUCAAGCUACUAUGAGGUAGAGCAGAAGCUUACCGCAGCUGCCGCUGCCGCGGCACUAGCUGCACUCGAGCCGAGCCCGCUACCAAGAGGCAAACCCUUGUGCAGAUUCAGCAUGAUACCUACUGACUGCACCCCCAACAGCUCUAAUGUAGCCUUCCCAGCAAUCCCAGCACAGUUGUUUCCAGCCACUAACGACAAUCUCCCGUUAUCGCCAGUGAUAGUUGAAAUUUGGAUUUGCCCAGCCGGCACUGCAUUGCUGACCUGAAUUUCAAUGCAAAUUUAACUAAGGGAUCGUUUCAGGAAGCAUGUAUUAGGCUUUACUGUUGUAACCACACAACCUAAACAGCCAACUCAAAAACACUAGAGAGACAUGUGCUACCUCCGCAAAGCAACUAAUGCCGGAAAAUCCGCUUGAAAUUGCAGGAAUACUAGCAGAAAAACAAACGUACAUGAGUACCUCAGCUGUUACAUAAUCUCCCAAUCCAUCGACAGCACAGCCUAGAAAGUCGAAUCCCGGUCCCAAGUUGGCAACAGUGGCUGGCGCAAACGCUUUUACGAAUUGAUGCGCUAAUUUUGGCUCAGAUAACGUGAGCUGCUUCAGCGGGGGAGUUAACACUGCUGCUUUCUUCACGGCUUCACAUGUCACCUGCAUUGGAACGAACAAACCUUUUUAACGUAAUCAUUACCCUCAAAUUUCUACCUGCAAUAAUCAGAGGCGUGAUAGACAAGGAUGCCUUCCACGUCUUCCGAAAGGCAACAAAUCAAGCAGGGGGAAUUCGCACCUGUAACCUGAAUGAAUUUUGCUGAAAAUGCCGGCAGCUCACAGGACGAGGGGAAAGACUGAACGACGACAGUCUACAGCGCACCCGAUCCAGCGCUACGCCAUUCAAGCUACUCUUCUGCUGACAUUGUGAGGAUGCACCGCUUGCAAGCAUUACUUUCGCACCGGCUAAGCGUUCCAUUUUCUGUUCACAAUCUUACCAAGACCUUCUAAAAUAGCUGUAGGAAUAACAAAAGCCACAACAGAAUACAGAAUCUCAGAAUGAAACAAUGUAAAGCCUUGAAAAAAAACAAGGAGCACUGCAUUACGACAAACAUCGAAGGUUCUGCAUCGAAGCAAAGGACUUGCCGCAAACAGACAAUGAAUCCAACAACAACAACAAGAGGAACACACAAAAGAAGAAGAAAAAACACCUGCAAAAUGUAACGAAAGUACACAAAAAAAUCCUGUUUCUUAAAAUCACACAUUCGUAACACAGAGACUAACAUGAAAUCCAAAGCGAUCACCUCGGAAAACCUGAGGAACAGUGAAAAGGAAUCUGGAGAAUGCGAGCGAUGUCAGAGACUUGGUCGAUCCUUCGGAGCUCCGCCUUAAAACCCCCCACCCCCCCUCGCAGGGUUUGCCGAAUUGGAUGAAUGAUACUUGGAUGGAUGAAUUUAGUCUAUUGAUAGCUGGAUGAAAUGAUUCACCACGUUUCGUCUUCAACCUGGCGAUCGUGGCUGCCACCUCAGCUGCGAUUUGAAGAUUGAAGAAAUAUUGACAACAAUAACUUUAAAUUUUUUAAAAAAAGGAAAAAAAGAAAGGUUGAGAUGUGGUUUUUGUGUGAAUGAAAUUGAAGUGUAUUGUUUUUUGGGUGUUUGUCUUGAUGAACAAUUGAAUCGUGAGGAUAUAUAGAAUGUUGAUUUUCAAAAAUGUGAAUAACUUUUUUAAUUAAUAUAUGUAUAAAUAUCAUUUUUGGAUAUGUUAACAUCCUUGGAAUAUCUAUUUUUAACAAUUUUCAUUCAUGUAUAUAUGUAUAUAUAUAUGGAAAAAGAAACAUGCACAUAUAUAUAUAUAUAUAUAUAUAUAUAUAUAUUUCAACAUACUUUUAUAUUUUUUUUAAUCAAGUUUUAGAAAAAUUGAAAUGAUUGUUGAAAUUAAUAAACUAAAAAUUAUAUUAAUUAUUUCACUGAAUUUAUUUAACUUAAAUUACACAUGAAGCAAUAAAAGCACAAGGGCAAUUUUACUGUAAGAUAAAUGAUAACAUGCAAUUUCUGAAGUUAUCAUUUCAUAAGGCAUUUAGGAUAAACCUAUAAAUAUGUACAUAGAUACACAAAAAUACGUAUUUUGAAUGUAGCAUUUGCAAGUAAUAUCCUUAAAAAAAAUAAAAAAAUUAUAUGUAUCAUUAGAUUUUAAUUUAGGUUUGUUUUAUAUUAAUUUUUUGUGAAUUCACCUUUAAUCAUCUUUAUGAAACUUACAAGGAUUGUCUUGGAAAAUUCUACAUUUUUAUAGAUUAGUUUUGAAAUAUAUCAUGUAUUAUUUUGUUUGAAUUUAUUACAUAUUUGAUACAAAUGAAUUAUUACAAAUUUAGUAAAAUUUAUACAAUCUUCAAUUGAUAUAUUUUUUAAUAUUUUUAUAUUACCAUAUUCAAUAUAAAAUAAUGUCUCCCCUCUAUGUUCUUGUCCCCCAUUUUGGUUUUUGUGGUUCUAUAGAGAUCCAUUGCAACCAAUCUUCAUCAAAGCCCAUUAGCUCCAAAAUUAUUAUAUAACCAAACUUUGUUUCAAAGAUACCAACUACAUACACCAAAGACUCUAGCUCAUAGUAAGAUCUUAUAGAAGUGACUAAUAAACAUGUCUACAUUGUAUAUGAAUUCAAUAUUGAAGGAUCUAUUUCUUGUUGCAUUUGAGCCAAUGACAACCACAAAAAUUAAUAAAAACUCAUUUUGAAACAUGAUUAGGAUCUUGUCUCUUUUAACAAUGCUUGUUAUCUUGCGGAGCUCUUUUAGAUGAUCAAUUAAAUUCAUAAAAAAAUAGAAUUAGUAAUCAUACUAUGUCUUAUUGGCUUUGGUUGUUUUAAAUUCUUAUAAUAUAACUUUUAAGUCUUGUAAAGCAACCUAAUUUUAACUUCUUUAUUUAUGAUGCGUAAAUAAUAUAAUUUAGAUUAUAAUAAAAGAAAAUUAGGAUGUAAAUAUGAACUUAACUAAAUUGUGUAUGUAUUGUUGUAUUUUUAAUUUUUGGACUAUUAUUUUAUAUUUUGUGAUUACAUGGCUUAAGAAGAGACAUGUGAAAUAUGAAGUAGAUCUUUAUAGACUCUAAUAGAUAUAAUUGAUAAGUAACAGAAUUGACUUGUUCACAAAUAAAAAAAAAUCUAAGCCUAUAAUAGUCCAACUUGUUACAAGAACAACUAGUCUUGAUAUUACAAUGGAAUAACCAUACCUUGUCAUCUACAUUGAAUUGUGGUUGUUUCUUGCAAUAGGCAUCUCUAUUGAUCUUUUUUUCUUCUUAAGCUCCCUUUAAUUUUUCUUUUUUUAUUACAAGUAACUCUAACAAUCGAUUUAUGAAAUCUUCUACUACAAGAUUAUCAACUUUUAAAAAUUCAAAAGUAUUAAAUUAUGGAUGAUAAUCAUAAUUAGCAAAGAAAGUUAUUUGUUGAGUAGAAGAGUGUACUAAUUUAUUAUAAGCAAACUCUAUUAAUAAAAAAAGAGUUUUCUAAUCAUUUUGAUGAUAAUUGAUAGUACACCUCAAAUAUUGCUCCAAAAUUUGAUUUACUCUUUCUGUUUGCCCAUUAGUUUGACAAUUAAAAAUCAAAGAGAGCUUUAUAUCUACCUUUAAAAUCUUAAAAAGGGUUCUCCAAAAUCUUGAUAUAAAUUGAAUCUCUUUAUCUUAUAUAAUAUCCUUAGACAAUCUAUAAUAAAAAUAAAUAUUGUCAUGAAAAAGAUUAGUCCUUUCUUCACCUGUGAUAGAUUUUGUAUAUAGUACAAAAUGUGCCAUCUUUGUAAAAAAAUCUAUUAUCCAAAAUAUAAAAUCACAUGAAUUUGAAAUUGAAAAAUCUAUGAUAAAAUCCAUAGAAAUAAAAGACCAUGGUUGUUUUAGAAUAGGUAAUGGCUGAAGAAGUCUAUAAAGUCAAUGGCUAGGAGUUUUGGAUCUUAAAUAAAUAUCACAUGAUUAUAUAAAGUCUUUGACUAGCUUUCACAUUUGAGGCCACCAAAAAUCUCUCAAUGUUAGCUCCAAAGUCUUGUUGUAUCCAAAAUGUCCAUCUAUUGGAAAGUCAUAAUGAGUUUAAAGAACAUGUAAUCAUGCCUUGCCUUUUAGAAUAUAUAAUCAUAUUUUAAAAUAAAAUAAGUUAUUUUUGAACUUAAAUUUAGAAGUAUCUUAAGAUUUAGAAGAAUUAUUUUUGAUAUCAUGGAUAAGAAGAUCAGAGGAUAUAUUUGAUUAAAUUUUCUUGAUAAAGGUUGAAUCGACAAUCAAUGUUGAUUUUAUUAUUCAAAGAUAAAAAUGCUCUGGCUUUAAGAAAAUCACUCUUUUUUGAUCAAAAGAUGCAUUUCUUUCUUUUGGUAUAAGAUAAGAAUGUGUAGAAAAGACGUCUAACAAAUCUUAUUUUUUUUUGGACUAAUAAGUGAUUUUGAUAAAGACAUGCUCCAACAAGCUUGGCAACGAUUCAAAACAUGUGUCGACAUGAAGUACUUAAGGUUCUUGUGAUUAGUAUAUAUAGUGAUUGGACUUUAAGCGCCUUCUAGAUAAUGAUAUUAUUCUUAAUAUUAAUCGACAAUUACAAGAAGUUCUUUAUUAUGGAUCUCAUAAUUAAUCUCAAUUGCUAAAAAAAAAUUUUAGAAUAGAAAGCUAUUGAACAGAAAGAAUAUUUGACUAAUGGAAUUUUAAUCAAUUUAAUCAAUAUAAUUUUUUUAACCAAUAUAAUCUUAAAAUAACCAAAUUAGAUAAAAAUCUUAUUAUAUUAAAUAUUAUUAUGCUAUUAUGAUCUUUAAUUGCUAGAUCUAAAGAAAUAAUUUCAUGCGUAAUAUUUCUAGAAGAUAACAAACAAUCAUCUAUGACUUCUACAUGUACGGAUUCAAUUUUUUUGAGUAACAAUAUUUCUUGUUUUUUGAAAAAAUCUUUGUCUAUAAAACAUGUUGAGGCUCCUAAAUCUAAUAAAGAUAAGAUUUUAUGAUUUUUUGGUCCUAAAUAAAUUUUUGUUAUAAAAUAAGAUAAAGGAUUUGAAGAGAAAAUACGACCUUUAUUAGGAGUUACACAAGAUUUCAAUUGCAUGGUCUCUAUUAUAUUUGAAAAAACUUGUUUUUCAAUAUAAUGUCUUUUUUAGCAACCAUGCUUCUUAUUUUGUAGUUGUGUUGUUUCUUUGGAUAAUAUUGAACAAUGUGUUUAGCUUCUCUAUAAUAUAAACAUAAGCCUUCUUGAUAAUAUUAAGUCUUUUCUUGGUUUGUGAGAGAUUUAAAAUGUAUCGUAUCAAUUUGCAUUAGUUCUAGCUUUGAUAAAUAAGUUUUUAAAAAUUUGAGAAUUGUUAUCAUUAUUUGACUUGUUCUUUUUUAAUCGAGUCUUUUUUCUUGAUGUCUUUUAAAUAAUCAAUUGUGGCAUGCAAUGGCUUGAGUAAUAAAUUAUUCCAAAGAUUUUGCCUUUAACAUCGUUGAUAAUAAAUCUUUGAUAUUAUCCUUCACUCCAAAUCAAAAUUGUUUGAUAAGGGCUUUAUCAUUCCAAUCUAUGUUGCAAACAAGGUUUUAGAAUUCAGUAGCAUAUAUGGUAGCUGACUAUGAUCUUUGACGUAAAGAUAAGAACUUGGUCUUUGCUACUGUUUCUCGAUCACUUUCUCCAAAUAAUGUUGUAAACACUUCUAGAAAUGAAUUCAAAUCAUAAAGGAGUUGCAAAUUCUUUUCUAUUAAAGGUGCAAACCAAAAAAGAGCACUUCCUGAUAGAACUGCACUUAUGAAUCCAACUUGAAUAAAUCCAUCAAGAUAUUGGAAGGGAUGGAAUUUCAAAUAGAACUUGACUUAUUGUAAAAAUCUUCAAAAUUUUCAUCUUAUUCUAUUAAACUUUUUAAGCAUAUUAAUCUUUGUUCUCAUUAUACUUAUGAAAGCAAAAUUCUUUAGAUUUGGUUGUGACGUUAAUCUACUUGCUUCAUUUAACUGCACAACUUAUUGACAUAAACUAUGAACUUCUUCCAUAAGCAUAGAAAUAGUACUUCUAUGAUUUACAUUAGAAAUACAUGAAAUUUUUACUCUUAGAAUAUUAAAAAAUUCAUGAAGAUCUGUAAUAAUUAUAAAUCUAUUUUCACUUCUACUAAGAGUAACAUCCAUAAUCAUUCUUUCUAUAGACAACUCAAAUAAAUUCAAAAAAUUAAAUUAAAAGAGGAUAAUCUGCAAUCUUUAAUAUCAAAUGAAAUAUUUUAUAAAGAGAGAUAAUCUACUCUCUUUAAGAAAACAAUUAGUAUUAAAAAAUAAGAUUAUAUAUUUAAAGGUGGGUAAUUUGCAACCUUCAAAAUACAACAAUAGAAGUCAGAUAAUCCACUCAUUUCUAAAACAAGAUAGAAACAGUAAGUUAUUAUUCUUGCCAAACUAUCAAGGACAUGAAUCUCAAAAAAAGAAAUCCUUAAUAUAUUCUUGUGUCACUCAAAAGAACUAGAAAGUCAUUCAAAGAUGAUAUGGUAUUAAAUUAGAAUGGCUAUUACAAAAAACAAGAAGACUAAAAAAUCUUGAAAUAAGACUAAAGACUAAAAAGGCAUUGACAAGAGUGAAGAAGGCUUCACUCUUGCCUCCAUAUAUAUUCUUAACUAGGAGCUACAUAGCAAUGUCCUAUAGGACCUUCAAAACAUAUUGACUUUGCAAAACACAUAUCUUAAUUUGCAAGACAACUUUUUUACAUAUACACCACAUAGUUAGCUUGUUCCAUAAGCUAUCAAUACAUGAUUAACUUAUUGACUAAGUUUUUAACCUACCAAUCAACUACAAAUAUAUGUAAAGACAAAGCAGUAUUUAUGAAGCUUCUAUGAAGGUUUUUUUAAAAAUAUUAUAAAAUAAAUCUACUUUUACUUACUUUUACUUAAUCAUAUAAGUAAAUAUUAGAGUAAAUAUAUAUGUGUGUAAUAGAAGAAGAAUUAAAAAAAUAGGAGAUAGGUAUUAAGAGUAAAAAAGAUGGAAAUAUAAUAGAAGAAAGGGGCUACGAAUGAGAAUGGGAGUUAAAAAUGUAGAGAAUAUAGACUAGAAAUGGGAGGAAUAUCAUUAUGGUUUUGUUAGAUAGACUGAUUUAAUAAAAUAUGGGAUCAAUUUAAUAUAUAUAUAUGUAUAUAUAUAUAUAUAUAUAUAUAUAUAUAUAAUAAUAAAUUUAAAAAAUAUAUAAUAAAUUAAUAAUAUAUAAAAGUAUAGUAGAUUAAGAAGUAACUAUGCUUACUUCAAGUAAUAACUUUUACUCCAUAUACUAAGAUAUUAGGAAUUAAAUUAUCUUUUAUAACUUUUAAUUAAGUUAAUGCAUUGCUUAUAUUAUAUUUUUAAUAUAUAUAUAUAGGAUAUUAUCAUAAAUAUACAUAUUUAUAUAGAUAAGAAGUAUUAGAUAAAAAAUAAAUAUAGAUGGAUUGCAUAUUAUCUUAUAAAAAAGCUUCUUAGAUAUUUUAUAGAUGCAUAUUUGAUUUUAUAUAUGUUUAUAGUUGAUUGGUAGGUUAAAAAAAUUUGUCAACAAGUUAGCUAUAUAUUACAUAUAUAGGUAACUUGUAGUACAAGCUAAUAAUGUGGCAUGUAUAUAAGAAAGUUGCCUUGCAAUUUAAGACAUAUGUUCUAUAAAUUGAAUACAUAUUGGAGGUUUUAUAGAAUGUUGCCACAUAUUUCAUAGUUAAACAAUAUAUAUGUAAGCAAGAGAGAAGCCUUCUUUACUUUUUUUCAAUGUUUUAAUAGUCUUUAGUCUUAUUUCAAGACUUUCUAAUCUUCUUAUCUUUUGUAGUAGCUAUUCUAGUUUAAUAUCAUAUCAUCUUUGAGUGAUUUUUUAGUUUGAAUGACACAAAAAUUUAUUGAAUUUUUAAUUCUUUGAAAUUCAUAUCAUUGAUAGUUUGACAAAAGUCUUAACUUAUUAUUCUUAUUUUGUUUUAGAAGUCAAUGGAUUAUUUCACUUCUAUUAUUGUAUUUUAAAAGUUGCAAAGUAUCCACCUUUAAAUUAACUUUUAAUUUUUUAAACAUUGAUUUUUUUCUUUAAAGAGAAUAGACUACUCCUCUUUAUAGAAAUUUUCAUUUAGUAUUAGAGGUUGUAUAUUAUCCUCCUCUAAUUUGACUUAUGAGUUUAUUUGAGUCAUGUAUAGAAGGAAAAAUUAUAGAUGCUACUCACAAUGGAAGUAACAAUAGAUUUGCAACUAUUGCAAAUCUCCAUAAGCUUGUCAAUAUAUUUAGGAUGAAAAUCUCAUGUAUUUUUAAUACAAAUCAUGGAAGUAUUAUUUCUAUGCCUAUAGAAGAAAUCAACAAUGAGAUUUAGAGUCUACAUCAAGAAGUUGUGUAAUUAAGAAAAAUAAGUAGGUCAAGUUUACAAUUAAAUAUGAAAAGCCUUAUCUCUACAAGUAUAAAAGAGCUAAGAAUAAGUAUGUUAGAGAAGUUUGACAAAAUAAGAUCAAAGUUUUGAAGAUAUCUAUAAUAAGUAAAAUUUAUUUUAAGAUUGUAUCUUUUCCAAUACCUUAAUAAAUUUAUUGAAGUUAGAUUCAUAGGUGUUUAUCUAUCUAGCAGUACUCUUUCUUGGUUUAUACCUUUUAUAGUAAAUGAUUUAUGAUUCUUUUAUGAUUUGAAUUUAUUCUUAGAAGUUCUUAUGGCCACAUUUGGAAAAAGUAAUCAAAAAACAAAAGUAGAGACCAAAUUUCUAUCUUUAUGACAAAGAUCAUGUUCACCAACCAUAUAUGCUACAAAAUUCUAAAAUCUUACUUGUGAUGUGGAUUGGAAUGAUAAUACCCUUAUCAAUAAAUUUUGAUAUGAAUUGAAAGAUAAUAUUAAAGAUUUAUUGUUGAAAAUUCUAAGAAUAGACUCAUUGGAGCAAUUUAUUGCUUAAGUCAUUCUAUACAACAAUUGACUCUUUGAAAGAUGCUAAGAAAAAAAUUUGGUUUUAGAAGUACAAAUCAAGUUAUGGCAAUAAUUCUUAAGUUUGCAAAAGCUUAUUUAUUAAGAUUGAAACCUAUGCAAAUUAAUAUGGUAUAUUUUAAACUUCUUAUUGAGUGAAAAAAGAUUCAACGUUAUGAAGAAAAAUUAUGCUUAUAUUAUGGAGAAUUAAAGACACUGCUCAACAUUGUCCCAAAAAAUAAUGUAAUCACAAAAUGAGGAGCAUAGUUGCCAAAGAAGAUGAUGUAUCAAAAAAACAAGUUUUUCUAACUACAAUAAGAACCAUGUGGUUGAAAACUUAUGUAACACCUAAUAAAAGUCCUAUUCUUUUCUCAGAUCUUUCAUCUCGUUUUACAAUAGAAGUUGAUUUACGACCAAAAAAUCACAAAAUCUUUAUCUUAUUAGAUUUAAGAGCCUUAAAUUGUUUUUAUAGAUGAAGCUUUUGUUAAAAAACAAGAAAUAUCUAUAAUUAAGAAAAAUAAAUCCGUGCAUGUAGAAGUCAUAGAUGGUCAUUUAUUUCUCUUUAGAGAUAUUAUUUAUGAAAUAAUUCUUUUAGGUAUAGCAAUUAAAGAUCAUAAUAAUAUCUUUAUUAUCUAUUAUCUAGAUAAUAUUUUAAUCUAUUCUAAAAAUACAAAAGAACAUGAACUUCAUAUUUGUCAAGUAUUACAAAAAUUAAGAGAUUUAUGAUUAUAUUUUAAGAUGAAAAAAGUAUAUAUUUCACAUUACUCACGUUUACUUCUUAGAAUAAAUUAUUUCAAAUGAUGGCCUUGUGAUGGAUCCUAAGAAAGUUUAGACUCUCAUGGAUUGGAAGAUCCUAAAAAUAGUCAAAAAAGUGUAAUAUUUUUUAGAAUUUAUUAAUCAUUAUCAAAUCUUCAUCAAUUUUUUUUUCAAAUUGCAACUCUUCUUCUAUUUUGAUAUAUAAAGACAAACUUGAGUAGAGCAAAGAAUCCAAAAUAUCUUUUUGAAGGCUUAAAGUCAACAUUUAUUUAUAUAUUAAUCUUCUAUAUCAUUAACUUUUUAAAGGUAUUUUUUUAUAGCAAUAGAUGCAUCAAACUUUGUUGUAGGUGUAAUAUUAUCACAAGUAGAAGGAGAUGACAAACUCCACCCAAUAUCUUUUUAUUCCAAAAAAAAUUCAAUGAUUGAAAUCAACUAUGAGAUUUAUAAAAAAGAAUUAUUUAUAAUUAUGGAUUUAUUUCAAAAGUAGCAUCAUUGAUUAGAAAGUGCUUUUAAUUCAAUCAUUAUAUAUAUAUAUAUAUAUAUAUAUAUAUAUAUAUAUAUUACAAGUUUUUCAAGUAUUUCAUAUCAAUAUGUAUUUUGAAUCAUUAUUAACUCUGUUGAAGCAUAUCUUUAUUAAGAUUUGAUUUCAAAUUACUUAUUGAUCCAAAAAAUAACAAGAUUUGUUAGACAUAAUUUUUGAAUGUUCUUAUCUUGCUCGAAAAGAAGAAGAUGUAGCUUUUAAUCAAUAAAGAAUAAUUUUCUUAAAGCUAAAGCAUUUUCAUCUUUGAGGAAUGAAAUCAACAUUGACUAUUGUUUCAAUCUUUUUCAAGUAAAUUUAAUUGAGUAUCUCCUUUGAUCCUCUUAUUCAUGAUAUUAAGAAUAAUUCUUUUAAGUCUCAUGAUACUUCAAAGUUCAAGAUCAAAAAUAAUCUAUUCUAUUUUAAAGAAAAAUUAUAUAUUCUAAAAGAUAAAUCAUGAUUAUAUAUUCUUUAAACUUGUCAUGACUUUCCAAUAACUAAAUAUUUUGGAUACAAUAAGAUUUUAGAAAUAAUAUCCAAAGAUUUUUGGUGGCCUUAAAUAUAAAAGGCAAUCAAAGACUUUGUAGAAUCACAUAAAUUUUUUUUAAGAUCAAAAAACUUUAUCACUGAUCUUAUAGAUUUUUUCAGCCAUUAUUUAUUUUAGAACAAUCAUAAUCUUUUGUUUCUAUAGAUUUUAUCAUGGAACUUUAAGUCUUAAUAUUUUAUGAUUCUAUAUUUAUUAUAAUAGAUUAUUUUAUAAAAAUGGCAUAUUUUGUACCAUGUACAAAAUCUAUCACAAGUAAAGAAAUAAUUAAAUUUUUUCUUGACAAUAUUUAUCACUAUUAUGGAUUAUUCAUAGAUAUUAUAUUGGAUAGGGAGACUCAAUUUGUAUUAAGAUAUUAGAGAAUUUUUUUAAGAUUCUAAAGAUAGAUAUAAAGUUAUCUUUGGCUUUCUAUCUUCAAAUUAAUGAACAUAUGAAGUAAAUAAAUCAAGUUUUGGAGCAAUAUUUGAGGUGUAUCAUCAACUAUCAACAAGAUAAUUGAAUAACUUUUUUUUUCAUUGGUAGAGUUUGCUUAUAAUAACAUAAUACAUUCUUCAAUGCAAAAAAUAUCUUUUUUUGUUAAUUAUAGUUAUCAUCCAUAAUUUGAUGCUUUUGACUUUAUAAAAGUUGAUAAUCUUGUGAUAAAAGAUUUAACAAAUUAUUUUUGAAAUAUAUAUAAUAAUUAAGAUACUAUUGAAAGAAGCUCAAGAAAAAUAAAGAAUCAACAUGGAUGCCUAUUAAAAAGAGCAAUGCCAAUUCCACAUUAGCAAUAAGAUAUGAUUUCUUUCUUGCAAUAUCAAGACUAACUGUUUUUGUAACAAGUUAGAUUAUCAUAGGCUUAGACUAUUUUCUAUUUGUAAAUAAAUCAAUCCAAUUGCUUAUUAAUUAUAUCUAUUAGAGUCUAUGAAGAUCCAUCCCAUAAUCUAUAUAUCUCUUUUUGAAUCAUGUAAGAUAGUAAAUAUCUUCGAAAUAAGACAAAUGCUACUUCUUCCUAUAGAAGUAGAUAAUAAUUAAGAAUUUAAGGUAAAAGAAGUCUUAGACUCAAGGCGACCUUGAAAUAGAUUAAAACAUCUUGUUCAUUGGCAUGGAUAUGAUAUUAGUGAAUUUACAUAGAAGUCAACAAAGAAUCUUGCAAAUGCACCAAAGAAAGUUGAUGUUUUUCAUUGACAUCUAUCAAAAUAAAGAUAAAGAAUAGAAAAUCUUUGUUAUAAAAGAAAUAAGAUCAAAAGAAGAUAAUAUUCUACCUUCUAGCUUUAUUUGUAAUUUUUGUAUAUUUAUGAUACUAAAGAGAUGGAAAAAUCAACAAUUAUCAAAUUUAAUUCAAGCGCUAUCAUUUACUAACUUAUCAAAUAAGAUAUUAUGAUUAUUACAACCUUCAAGACAACAUAAUAGAGAUAAAGAUCCUCAAAAAUGAUAUGUUUUUAUUUGAAUAGAUAGAAAGAUACAAUGUGUUUGAUAUCACAACUUUGAAAAAGACUUCUAAUAUUUUUUUAUUUUAUUGGAGGUAAGAACAAUUUGUUAAGAUAUUUUAAAUUUUUUAUUUUGAAAAAAAUUACAAAAGCUUCAAAAAUGAUUAAAUAAUAAGGUGGUCUUCUCUUUCUAUUAUGGGAUAGUAUUGAUGGCUUAGAAGACCUAUCAAUCAUCUUCAAAGAGAAAAAAAAUCAAAGUAUGUGGCAAAUAUAAUUUACUAUAUCUUAGACUUCUUCAACAUAUAAUAAUUAUUUCUUAUGGAAUUCAUUCAUAAAAGAGAAGGUAAUAUCAUGAACAUAUAUAUUUAUCUACAUAAAAAGUAUUAGAUAGAAGAAAAAUAUAUGUAGAUUUGAAAUUAUCUCAUGAAAAAGCUUUUUAGAAGCUUCAUAGAUGCAUAUUUGAUUUUACACAUUUUUAUAGUUGAUUGAUAGGUUAAAAACUUUGUCAAAAAAUUAGCUAUAUGUUGCACAUAUAGGUAGCUUAUAGUAAAAGUUAAUGAUAUAGCACGCAUAUUAAAAACUUGCCUUGUAAGUUAAGACAUGUCUCUUGCAAAUUAGACACAUGUUGAAGGUCUUAUAGAACAUCAACAUAUAGUUCUUAGUUAGAUAGUAUAUAUGUAUGCAAGAAAGAAGCCUUCUUCACUCUUAUCAAUGGUUUUUUAGUCCUUAGUCUUAUUUUAAGACUUUUUAGUCUUCUUAUCUUUGACAAUGUCUAUUCUAAUUUAAUAUUAUAUUAUCUUCAAGUAAUUUUUUAGUUUAUUUGAGCAAUGAAAAAAUUUGUUAUUUUUUUAAUCCUUUGAAAUUCAAAUACUUAACAAGAAUUUUUAAUGCCACUACAAUUUUUAUUACCGCCAUCAUAAUCCUCUACUUACUUGAUAUAUUUUUAUAGUUUUUAUUUAUUUUUAUAUUUAUUUCAAUCAAAAAAUUGAAUAAUAAUUCUAAUAUAUAUAUAUAUAUAUAUAUAUAUAUAUAUAAAGAUGAUGAGAUGGUUGUAGUAGAAACAACAAAAAGAAAAUUUUGACUAAAAUUUGCUUGAAAUUUUUAUAGAAUUGUGGCAAUAUAAGCAAAAACUAUGGUAUAUGGUGACAUUAGCAGUACUUUCUAUCUAUAUUUUGAUCAAAGAAGGAAAAGAGAAUUGAUCAAUUGAAGGACUAUUUGUAUUUUAUGUAAUACAAAUUGAUAUGACAAAUUAUGGCUAUUCGGCUAUGGAUUUUAUUCCAUGCUUUGAUUAUUUAUAUUAUUUAUUACAUUAAAAUAUAUUUUACAACAAAAUUUUGUUUGAUGUAACAAAUAGCAUGAAUAAUCAAAAAUAUGUAACAAACUUUUACAAGAAUAGAAUUUCACAUUAGAAUGCUUGAUUACAAAUUCACAUUCAUUUUGUUCUUAUCUAUAUUUCAUUUCGGAUUCACAAUGUUCAGCUUAUUUUAUAUACUGAAAUUCCUAUACAUUUUCAUUGUAUAGAACUGUCAUACAAUGAAAAUGUCAUCGAACUAAUCCCAUUCAGAUUCAUUCAGGAGUUCUGAGUCUUUAGAACUGGCGAGUAGCUAGUUUCAAUGUGGCUAGAUAAAGUCAGAGACAAUAAGAUUGCAUACCUGCAGUCGAGUGCAAUGAAGGCAGGUUAGAAACUCAGGGGUGUUUCAUCCACGAAAUAAAAAAGAGGAAUCAAUAUUGCUCUAUUCUUCAUAACUAAGGAACUUCAAUCAGGUUAAAUUUUGAUAUAGCACACAAAUUUUACGUUAGUAAGAAAUUUUAUUCUAACAAGUAUCUGUGAAUAAUAUGUAAAAUUGCAAAGAAUGGCAGUAUAAUGGUGCAAAUGUUUUGCAGAUAGCAUUGGAUACAGCUGAGUCUUGGAGUGCAUGUUGCUAUUUGGAUUACAUGUUGCCAAACCCCCCCAAAUUUGACACCUUCAAAGGGAGUUUGGUAGAAAAGGCUAAUAUAGAAGAUAGCUUAAUUUUGUGCACAUAUGAAACACAUUUUUCUCAAGUUCCAAAAACCAAAAGACCAAAUCACUGGCUCAAUGAGCAGACAUAGAAAACAAACCAACACUUCAAUGCAAGCUUUUCACCGAGUUCGUGACAAGAAGAGAAGAUUCUAAGCACUUUCACGUCCAAAACAUUUUGGUGUUACCAGGAAAACAGCCCAGUCAGGUCCUCUUACGGUGGCAGAUACUUGAUGCUCAUACGAAGAUCACCAUUACAGAAUUGGGACGUGCACAAAUACUGUAAAAUCCACAUCUCCAGCCAUUCAAAAUAGAAAAACCACACAGGGUUUGCCAGCACUCACCGGGAAUGGAGUGGACUACACAGUUCAGACAGUGCAAGAUAACAGCUCCAUCGGGCAAAAUAACAGCUAACACAAUGCAAGAGAUUACAACCACAUGUCGAAUAAAGAGAUACUCAAAUUCCAGGAACUUAACUUGGACAACCGAGUACACCAUUCGAGAAUCAAAGAUUUUGGAAUAGCUUGUUAAUAAGUCACAACCGUCUCUUAAAGUAAUCGCAUCAAAAGAGCGUAGAUAUCUCUCACAUUCUCCAUUUGAGAGAUUAUGGGGUUCAUAGAAGUCGGCAUCCAACUUUCAUAGUUCCGGGAACAUGACCUCCAGAUCUUAUACCACACAGUAAGACUUAGGGCAGUUCACUGUCAAAAGGAUUGUUGCAGGAGCAGUUCAUGAAUGCAAAUGAGUUUGAGAUUAACUAGACUCAUGGGAAGUGGAGAGGAGAACUGGCAUCGAUGAACAGAACUAUUAACAGGAGCUCUAUAAUUGGGACUCUAUUGGCAUCUGUGUUGAUGAGGCAGCUUGAGCAGCACGUGAUAACUCCAAGACCGACUUCGUGCAAGUAUUUCAUUUACCUCGCCGUGUGUUUGCUGUAUUCUCAAGGUUACAAUCUAUGUUAAUAACUUUCAUGGCAAGUGACUUACUUGGCAAUUGUUAUUUCAAUGCAUGGAGAAUAAUUUUGGUAAGAUUUAUCUUCCUACGGUGGGUAGAAUCUGUGGUAGAAGAUUUGCACUAAAAGAAGGAUACUGAGUAUGUCAUACCUUUCGAUGUAAAAGACUUUCUUUCGAGUCCUUGAUGUUGUGCACCAGUUCUUCAUGUUGCAUUGUUCACUCUUUCAUGAGGGUCUCAAUGUGUGUGGUUGCUACUAAAUAGAUAAGUGGAGAUUCUAAAUUUCUGCAUUUCCACAGGGUGAUUAUGUAUUUUCAUGGAUAGGGUCCACCAAAGGGAGUAAUGAAGUCGUCUAUGAGGAUUUAUCUUCUAAUCUGAUGCUCAAGUAUCUUUGUGACUACCCUUUCAAACCACCCAUGGUUAAGUUUUUCAUACUUUGCUUCUAUUAGAAUGUGGACCAACUCAAAAAUAUCUACCUAGACAUUCUACAGGUAUUAUCAGGUCGAAUUGAAGCAAAAAAAUAUGCAUCACAUGAGCCAUUGAACUAAGGUGUGCAAACAGUGCUUUGGAUUCAAACGUUUCUGGGUGGUAUGCACGACUAUCUCAGUAGCUAUUGUAAUAACUCGUGAGAAAUGAGAGGGUGGUAAGAUGUCAGGUAGUGACAAGUACAUAAAAUGCAAUUCGCAGGGCCGAGUACCGAUAGAUUACUAGACGACUAGGCCGUAGCACUUUGGGUAAUCCAGUUUUGUACUAAACAGUUGGGAGUUGUAAAUUGCAAACAGAAGUUGCCACGAGCAUGAAUGAACUUUAUGAGGACAAAUUCAUUGCUAAUCCGCAAAAUUCAUCAUUUAGUUGCGGUUUUCAUCAAAGAGAAGUGAAAGAUGUAAAAUUUUGAAUAACAGGUGAAUCAAGUAUCACAUGUAAAUGUUUCAAUAAGAAUAGACAGAAGAGUUUUUUAUAUGUAUUCGUUGUAUUCUUCACAGACGGUAACGGAUCUUACACCUGUAGUAAACACAGCCUUCCUAAGUGAUGAGAAGUCAUCGUGCAACAUUUUGUCGUAUAAUUGACGACAGGAAGAUAUGAGCUCAUCAAAAUUAUUGCGCACAAAGCACUCAACCCAAAUGGAGAAACACAACUUUCAGGCAGAUACAGCAUAUAAGGCAUCAAGUGUGUACGUAAUGACUUCAUAUGGUUGCGACUUUCUACUCAAGGAAUCAAAUAGGAGGGUGUCGCCCGCCCGUUUUUAUUUGUCUUAUUAACAGAGAUUUAGAUACACAUUUACAGUACCAAUGACACUAUAUAGUACAAGUAUUACCGCCAAGUUCAUAUUCUAGUUCUCGGGGGUGAAGUUGGUGGUGUAUGCCCAGGCGUUGUUGGUACCGGGAUCUGCAAGAUAGUCGCUCAGGUUCUCCAAGGGUCUCUUUCCAGUGACGAUAGCCUGAACAAAGAAUCCGAACGUGGAAUACAUUGUCAAACAACCGUUCUUGAUCUCCUUCACCUUCAACUCAGCGAGAUGUCGAGAUCAUUGGCUAAAUAUAAGGGAUGGAAAGAGCCACCUGGGUAAAUUGGAUCGGUCACCUCACCCAAAGGUCCACCAGCAACACGGUACUUCUCGACGGCUCCCAUGAGAAUCACCUGACAGGCCCAAAAUGCUUUGAGCGCUCACAAGUCUUGAGUUGCCGAAGAGGUCACUGAAGAUCUGAGAUGCGGCAUUGAACCACACAGCCUCGCCAAACUUCAUACCAUUUUUGGCCAAAAGCAUAGGAGUAGCACGACCCAAUGCUUCAAACCUGGCCAAACGAGCGUGAAUAACCUAAACCUGCCUGUUGCGGGCGAAGGUCUCAGGAUCAGAGGAAAAUCCUGUAGUGUCGCUAGCAGUGGCCGGUGUGGUAUGAGGGGGUCUCACCAGAGGAAGGGCCCUGAUGCACGGGUCUGUCGGCGCGCCACUUGUACAGCAUGGAUAAGUUUCAGACAUAAGGAUUGAGCAAAUUAAGCGUCGAAUAAUUGACUACGUUGAGUACCACACAGACAGAGAAUCAAUGUUGAUAUACGCAGUGAUGCAUGUAUUGUUAUAUGCUAAUAUGAGGUGGACCAAGACUUCUAAGUGGUUGCACUGGUAUGAGAUCUUAUACCGUCUUAUCAUUCCAAAAUAUAACGUUGGCUCCUUUUGUAUAUCAAAGGUCAACUCAGAUCCUUCAUGGUAAGAAGUGUAGAAAUGUGGAGUAUUCGUGAACAAUGGACAUAGAUCUUUUUACGUGAGCCGAAAACCGUAGGACUGAAAUAUGCAAUGUACGUAGGGAAAUCUUAUUGUAUGGCAUUUUGUGAGGCGAUGUUAUUUUCAAAAGGGCGUGUGUCCAAGAAACUCUAAUGGUCAAUCUUCUUACAAGUGAUAUAAUGAUAGUUCAAGGUCAAUAUUCACAAAGAAAAUAUAUUGAUAGUUUGUGCGAGACUUAGACCGUGUCAAGAUCAGAAGGUUUUCAGAGGGGGCAAUACAUUCAAAGAUCAAAUUGUUGUGUUACAAGCAAUGAACAUGGUCCGGGUCUAUAUGUUUCGUUGUUAGUGAAUCCAGUAGCAUAUCACACAUUUUGUGUAAUUCUCUGAUAACACUGCAAAAUAAGGGUAGAAUAUCUUCUUCUGACAGUUGCUGUUUUCUGGUUUUAUCUGCAGUCUCUUUCAACAUGGCUGCAACCAUGAACUUCUCUGCCAUGGCCGGGCAGAGAUUGGUCAAGCUUGUCAAUGAGCUCAAGACAACGAUUUGGAUUUGGAAUGGAUUGCCCCAUCAAGAAACAUUUUUAUCUUAACGUGGUUCAUAUAUCCCACGAACAAUAAUUAUAUCACUUGUAAGUAGAUUGACCAUUAGAGUUUCUUGGACACACGCUCUUUUGAAAAUAACAUCGCCUCACAAAAUGCCGAACAAUGAGACCCCUUUACGUACAUCACAUAUUUCAAUCCUACGGUUCUCGGCUUAACCAAAAAGAUCUGUGUCCAUUGAUUAUGGAUACUCCACAGUGCUACACUUCUCACCAUGAACGAGCUGAGUCGACCUUAGAUACACCAAUGAAGUCGACGUAACAUUUUGGAAUGAUGAAGACGGUGCAACCAGUUAGAAGUCUUGGUCCACCUCAAGUUAGCAUAUAACAAUACAUGCAUCGUGUCACAUUUGAUCAUGCUCAGAAAUCAACUUCGGAGCGCUGAGUUGAUGUAAUAACUUUUAACAAAAUCAUAAUAUCGAUAAUGAUCUUCAAGUCACACGUAAAAAGUUAGCAUCGCUAGAAGACACACCUACACAUUUCUAGCGUACCAUAUCUCACAAACUACAACUUCAAGAUCAUCACAGUUGAAAAAUUUAGUGAUAUGUGUCUCAAAGAUAUCACAUAUCACAAACACUUCCUUAGGGCAUGUUGCUUCAACACAGGCACAAUAGCUACGUCAGGAACCUGAACCCAAAAGAAUACAGUGUAGAAGACGAGAAGCACACUAAUUAACCAAUCUCAAUGAAGUGGACCCCACGCUGCUUUCCAGAUGUAAGAAAUCAAAGUAUAGAACAACACAAAAAGAUAAAGAUCUGAAUUCAUAUUGGCAUGGUCAAUCUAAACAGAAUAUAUAAACAUAUACAUAUACACACACGACGACGACGACAAUAAUAGCCAAACGCGAUAAAUCAGCACCAUACUUCCACGAAAGCAAGUAGAGCAAACAAUUCAAUCAAAUUACCACACAUUUGUAUUCCAUCCAACCAUUCUGAAACCCCUGCACCAUAUCAAUCACUGAAGUUCUCUGACACAACCUCCACAUUGGAGCCAAAUUUUAACCAAAUUUCUCGAAGUCACAUACAUUGCGGUUCAUAAGUCGAUCCUUCACCGCGAAUGAAACAAAGCCUAAAGGCUGGAGAUCAUCUACCUUGCACUCUUGUGAAGUUUAAAACCAAAAAUUCUCGGUGUGUAACUCUGAGUCGGCUUUGAAGGCUUGAUGUAGGGGUAUGUCAUCAGAAACAGAUGUGGAAAUGUAGUGCCAAAAUAUGCACCGUCGAUGUCUGUAGUUAAAGUUAAGUUUUUCAACAUAGGCCUGAUAUAAAACAUUAGAUAUUCUAGACAUGAAUUCGUACAGCUAUUAAGAAUAUGAUACUGGUCAUAACAGUCAAUCCAUCCACGGUAAGUAUGGAAACCUCUAAAAACUAUGCACGAUACAGUUUCUCGAAAGAAAUGCCAGCUAGAUUAAUAAAUAACUAGUAUAUGUGACGUAUAAAACAAAAAUCAACCACAAAACAAUUUUCAAUUGAAAAGGAUACUGCCCUGAUAUUUUGAUCGAGGGUAAUAUAUGUCUUCACACUUUGGACAAUAUAUCUUCACAGUACUUGUUCGAGGAACGUCUGACUGACCCAUGGGCAAACACGGUUGUCCAGAGCAGUAGACACGAGGACAUCGACCAAAGUCAACAUUCUUACAUUUUUCAAGCUGCGCAACAAUGUAGAAUCAGAAAAAUAGUAUGUGAAGAAAAAGACUUAAGGAAACAAAACUAACUUCAUCGUCUUAUCAAUAUAUCUUGAGGCAGAAGGCAUAUCAAACCAAGAUAGGAAAUGUACCAUUGCAUUCAUUCCUUUGCUGGUUAAGAUAUAGCGGACGUGGAUCAACCCAUACAACAUCUCGGCAGCGGACUCUACCAAUUCAUUCUGCUCCUCAGUUAGCAUGUCAUCUAUAUUUGCAGAGACAUAAAACACACAUCCUUGUUCAGUAACGGAAUGUUGGCAAACAAACCAAAAAUUUCACUUUUACAGUAAAACUGCACUGAAAAUAUACGACCAGUACGAAAAGAUUGACACUGUAUUCUUUCGAGUACCAUACGUUUAAUAAUGCCUGCAAAAAUGAAUCGAAGAAAACUUAUACUACAGUGAACUCAAUAUACAAGCUAAUUCCUUCUAUGUCUUAUAUAAAAGAUAACCAAGCAGUAACAAGAGCUAGCUCACAUUCAAAAGGAAUGCAUCUACAGAAUUUGAGACUUCUAAUGCGAAGCGCCAUGUGAAGAAAUUAACCACUUGACUAGAAAAGUUUUUCAGCCCAUAAAAAAGUAGACGUUGAACAACUUAAUCAAAGGGUUGAACGAUGAAAAUCUUACCACUAGGGGAUUCCACAUCCAAGAUCAGGUCAAGCGCAUAAUCAUAAUAGGGAACUUGACUGCUUAAGCCGCUUAGAUUGAAGUCGUCCUGAAUGUACUCAUCAUCAACCUCGCAGAAAAACUCAUUGCCCCUCAAGCCGCAGAACCAGGAGAUCCAAGAAGUAUCCUCUCCAUCAGAUGCACUCACAUCAGAAUCCUCGCUUUCCGACUCUGAGUCCUCUGCAGCCACUACAUAGACAAUCGCCUUGGACUGUAAGCAGGUGAUUGCGUUUGAAAGUGAGAUGCAAUGAGUAUUUCCAGCCUCACGGGUUAGUUCAAAUCAACAACAGUAAAGAGUGGAAAAUAAUAUACAAGAAAGAAAUGCUAAGACAAUAGUGGGGCGUAAAGCUAAUACAGAUUAGAAGGAAGUGCGAGGCAAUCAAAACUCUCCGAGGAGCAAACAUAGAGAGGACUACAAAUAAAAACUGCCCCUGGGAAUGUAAUAAGACAGGGUGGAGUAUAAGAAGGCAGGGGAGGGUAUCUAGCAAAUUCAGCACGCAGACCUUCAGUUCCUGAUGAUUAAGGAAAACACAAACCAUGUAACAGACGCUAUUCCUAUAAAUGUCUCAUGACUUACAUAUGCAGUAGGAGAGAACGGAUUUCAACUGCAAGCUCUCAAUUCAAGCCAGACAAGAGAUAAGGCACAGAUAUCGAAACAAAGUAGAUUCUAAGCACAAAAAAUUGGAUAGAAUUGAAGAUGAAUUCAUGAAAGUUCGUGUGAGGCAGCCUGCAUGCAAACUGGAUAGUACUAUGCAAGUAAGCUUGCAUCAGGAAAGCUCACCAUCUUCUGGAUACUUAGCCUUCUCCAGAGUGGGCCUCGCCUCAAGUGCAGCGUUGCGACUGGUUUGAGUCUUAGAAGCGGCGGCAGCUAUUCGAUCUUUCUCCCUGCCAAUUAGUCCUUUAGAGGUUGAAGGAGGUUGAAGGAGUGGAAUUCCACCCUCGAAUCGUUUUUUGUUGUCAGUCACGUCGCGGUACAAUUCGCCCCUCACAUUCCCACCUCUAGCCUCUGUUGCCAGAGAUGAGCUCCGAUCUUUAUACAUAUUCUCUUCCGGGUGAAGGUGUUAGCAAUGCUUCUUACACCUCCAAAAGAAGAGCUGCUGCACCUCUAAUAACCAAACACAUGUCAGAAAACUGCAGCUUUACUUGCUUCGCUCAAAUAUUUGUACAGAUGCAGCAGAUCUUUGCCAUGAAGGCACAAAUAUCAUCUAUAGAUCAAUGUCACGAAAACAGAAGGUAAUACAACCGCAGAUUCAUCAGCACCAAACUCUAGAAGAAUUCAAAAACGCCGUCAACAGAAGGAACCAGGUCAAUUCACUCCGCCAUUUGUAAAUUGCUCUUCAGUCAGGAUCUCUACAGCACUAACAGCCCCUCUACUUACCCCUGCACUAGCCCACUCCACCAGCCUUCUGCGUUUUUCUCCCUUGUAGAAUCCAAACUCCUUUACAUACCAACCUCUCCAGCAUCCUCGCCCUCCCUUAACCCUAACCCGAACGCUUCACAAAGCUCCUCAAAUCAACCCUACACAAUAACCCCGCACAUCCAAUCCCAACCUCCCCAACCCCAAUGAAUCAACAAUCUCAAACCUAGAAUACAUCAACCGCCCCAACCCAGCUCAAACCCUCUUAAGAAACGAAGAACAACUAACCUAUAAAAAUUUAGAAAAAAGGCUUGUUUUGAAAAUAAUAGAUGAAUAUUCAAAAAAUUCGAAAAUUCGAACGACAAACAAGCCAUUCGAAUUACAAUCGCUCCCAACCAAGUGAAAACCCUGAACCCACAACAGCACAGAGAAACCACAACCCUAAAACGCGUCCCACCUCAGGAUCAAAAUGGAUGGCGGGUUCGGGUGACGUCUGUCUUGGAAAGCACCCGAGGGUGGCUCUGAAGCUGUGUUGGGAUUUGAGCAGAGAAGAAAGAGAGAAGUGGCCCUCGUGCCAAUCCCAACCCAGAAUGGCCGCGACGGCAACGGCGGCAGAGCAGCACCAGCAACACCAGCAGCCGACCCGCUCCCAGGAAAGCGAAGGCUAGUGGGAGAGGGUGGGGGUGGGGUGCGGGGAGAGAGAGAGAGCGCGCGAGCGAGACGGGUAUAGUGGCUGGCUGCUGAGUAAGAGAAGAAAGAGGAACGGAGAAGAAGAAGAAGAAGAAGAGCAACCAAAAGAAAAGAAACCCAAAUACAAAACAAAAAGACGCGGGAAGGAGGAAGUAGCACAAGAGAGGAGGACGAGGAGGAGGAGCAGAAGAAGCAGACAAGAUGCUCCUCCCUCCCCCCGCCCUUCCUUUGCCAUGGCCGGGCAAGGGAAGGGCAGGGGAGGGGGCGGGCAGGGAGGGGGCUGUAAAGUGGCGAGGAUGCCCUGGCUGCCGUGGAUUGGGUGGGGGGAGGAGGAGCGUAUCCAGCGGUGGGCAGGGGGGAAUAAAUAAGUGAAUCAAUCAAGCACAGGGUGGGGUCGGAGGAGGCUGCACUCUUCUCUCUUUCUCUCUUAUCUCUCUUUCUGUCUCGCUCUCUUUCUUUCUGAGCAUGUAUGUGUCGGCAGCGAUAUACCUCUCUCGCUCUCUCUCCUCCCCCUCCUCGUAACCCACUUCCGUCUCUCUGUGUGUGUGUGUGUCUGGAUAGUCAGUCAGUCUGUUUGUCUGUCGGUGUCCCAUUCGUUCGUUCGUUCCCCCUAGCUGCUGCUCGUCUCUCUCCUCUUGCUGCUGCAGCUGCUACUGUAGCUUCCUUCCUUCCCCGUUUGUUCCUCCCCUCACCUCGUUCCCACUCUCUCCUUCGCCAGGUACACUAUAGUUGUUGUGUGGUCUAUAUUCUACGUAUUUGUAUGGUGUAUGUAUAGUAUAUAGUGGAAGUUGUCGUUACUGGAUAACCUUUAUUACAAGAUUUUAUAAUAACUAGAAAAUAUUUUUUUCAGUUUUUUCGUUAUUAUAAAUUUGUGUCACACCAUGCUUUCAUAAAAAUGAACUAGAAAAAGUGAAAAUAAUUAGAUUAUGCUUUUUUAAAUUUAUGUCUUUACUAUGUUUUUAAUUGGUUUAUAUACAUACACAUAAUAAAAAAUUAUAAUGAUUAAUGAAUUACUUCCUUGAAAAUUUUUAAAACCCAACAAUCUUUUAAUGUAUAAAACUUUUAUCAAAGUAUAGUUUAUUAGUAUAUAUAAUAAAAUAUUCAAUAUGGCUAAUUAUUGAUUAUAUCUAUGUAUAACUAUAAAAGUAAGAUAGAAAACACAAUAGUUUAAAAAAUUUAAUACUAUAAUUAUUCUAAAAUUAAUACAUAAUUUUAAAGAGAUAUACAUAUAGUUUAUUUUAAAUAUUAUGAAUCAUUUUACAAUCAAAUUAGGUUUGAGUAAAUACUAUAAAUUCAUUGUAACCUUAACUACUAAUUUCAAAUACAUAUUUCCAAAUAUAUUUGUAAUAAUUAUGUAUAGUAUUUUUUGAAGGAUUUAAUUUUUUUUUACUGUAAAAUCUUUAUUAGCUAAUAUACAUGUAAUUGCUUAAAAUUUUGCAUGAUUACAAGACAUAUUCUUUACUAUUUAUAUUUUUAUUAGAUGUAUUUUAUUAAAAAUAUCUUUUAUAACUAAAUUUUAAAAAUACUUCUUGAAAUUUUUAUUACCAUUAUUUUAUAUUUAACUUUAAAAUAUUGCUUAACCCUUCAACGACUAUACUUCAAUGACUAUUAUUAUAAGUUCAAAUGUCCCUCACAUAUUAAUAUACAAGAUUUUAGCAUAGAGUUUAAACUUUAUUCUAUUGUCUUUUCAAAUCAAAAAAUAUAAUCUAUUUAUUUAUAUAUUCCUUUAAUUACUAAAUAUUUGUAAACAAGCUAUUGUCAUUUACUUCAAUUAAUACAAUUAUAAGUUAUAGUCUCAUUUCAUAAUUUAUAUAUAUAUAUAUAUAUAUAUUUGUUUGUUUGUUAAGUGCACCUAAGUUGCUACAUGAACACAUCAUAUUAUUAUAUGCACACCACAAAAAAUUAGAUGCUUUUGAUUGGUUGAAUAUUGUUAUGUAAAUCCUACCACGUGAAAGAAAUGCAAAGAGGUUACAAGGGGCGGCAACCCCUUUGAUUGUCCUAGUGCCUAGUCAAUGGAUAUGGUCAAGGGGCCUCCAUGAAUAGAGCUCCCUGGAAAACUAAGUAAAUAAAUAAAUAAAUGUGUCCUUUGUAUUGGUGGUUCUUUGGCAAUUUUCAUAGAUCACUAGUGAUAGAUGUUUUUUUUUUGGCACUUGUUAUUAAAACCUCUAUCUUUAGUGCACUCUCAUAAGCAUGCACUAUCAAGGUAUCUUUCAUUUCAUCUUUCAAGCCCUUAUUGCCUUUCUAAAACCUCAAUGUUGAAGCCAAGAAUAAGAAUUUCCCACCAACUCUUUGAGUGAGUAAUUGUUUUGUUUUACGACUUUGAUACAAGUAAAUGCAUUGAUAUCACAUAGAUAUGCAAUUUUUGAGAGUAUUUUGAGUUGUUAUAGUAGUGGAGCUUCUAAGAAUUGCAUGUUGAUUUGUUUUUGUGUAUGCAUGUAGUUUCUUGCUUCAAUUGCAAUUGUUGUAGAUAGAAAAUAAUAUGUGAGUCAAAUUCCUUCAAAGUCUAGAUUACAUUUUCUAGCUUAGAUUUUAUCAUAUAUUAUUGUUUUAAAGAAAGGUGUGUAGAGAAGUAAUGAUUAUCGUCUUGUGAAGAGAAUCAUAUGAUUUGUCAAUAUUUGCCUUACAAGCCUCAAGGUUUGCUAUUGGAAUCACAAUAUGAAUUGCAAUACUCAGUUAAAAAUUCUUUUUUGUCUUCUUAUCUUCUUACAACAAGCUUGAGAUAGGCUUCAUAUACUUCAUCAUUAAAGAAAGAAAAGCAUGGUUGUUGGUGUAAUUGUAUAUUUAUAUAUAAAAAAACAUAAUACAAUCUACUUUGUAACUAUUUGUUUAACCUAGAAUUCAUUCUAAUCUUCUUAUCCAUCUCCACGUCCCAUGUUUUAAGUAGAAUUUCAUCACCAGUAAGAUGCUCUUGAAUUUGAAAUUUUCAACUCCAACUCAAAUAAAAAAAUAAAUAUACAAAUAUAUUUAGUUAUUAGCAAUUUUUGUCAAAGCAUGAUUGGGUUUUGUAUUUGCUCUCGUGUGUUGUGACAGUGUGAAAGGCGGUUAAAAGAUAAAAAUAUAUUCCGAUGUAUGUGUAUAUAUAUAUAUAUAUAUAUAUAGGGAUAUAUACAUUAGAUAAAUAAGACAAUAUAAUACUGAAUGCCACUAGUCUCAACGAACUGUGUAAGUUCCCACAUGGGAACAAGACCAUCGCCACCAGUUCCGGACGUUCCCACCUCAGAAUUCAAAUGGCGUGCGUUCCCAUAUUCGAGAACAAAGCCCUAACCUGAGAUGGCGGGGGAAGUGGGAGUGAGCGCGGGGAGUGUGGUGGGAGCGCCUGUCUCUCCCGCCAAAACUCCACUCCCUCCCUCCCUUCAUGCAGUGCCGUUUUCUACGAAUUGUACCGACCAUUGCACGGGGUUGGCCUUCCGUGAAUAAUUUCUGUAGAUUGCAGGGAAUCUUAGUUGUGAUCGCAUUGUUCUUAGUUGUGCGAGCUCUCUCACGGGGGGGAUUUGUGGAUACCGGCGCUGCCGAGAGUUUUUUCAGUAUUCGGAUCUCGUAGUUUGGAUUUCGGAUUUGUGAUUUCGAAUCAUGCGUGUUUCGCUUUUGAGAGGACAUGACGUUUAUAGCGGUGGAGGGUGCUAAUAGAUGGAUGCAGCUCUGGUUGUGUGAGUUGUGUGACGAGGUUCUUCUUUCUAGAAACUUGUAAUUUUUGUCUCGUGACCUGCAGUUUUUUCAAGUUUGGCGGAUUACAGCGCUGACUUGUUGUCGUAGACGAAAUGAGUAGAUGACACCACUAGGCAGCUUUGAAAUUGUUACAUUAUUUGGCCGGCGGAGUAUUCCCGUCUACUUUAAUUAGCAAUUACUUCAAUUAUUUCAAUUGAGACUGUGGGAUUACACUCUAUAUGUUUUUCCCCUAGGACCCGCCUCAGCGCAAUUAUCGUUGCUCAUCGCACUAGCUCUCUUACACUGUAGGCAUCUCGCCUGUCGUUUUCUGUUUAUACUGAAUUCCUCAGAGGACCGAGGGGUCUGAUUUUAUUUAAUUAUUAUUUUAAAAUUUCUUCUUCUGUUUUCCUUUGGAAUGCCAUCGUAAUGGAUUCAUCCUUAGGGGGCGCAACAUGAUCUGCAGCUGUAAUUCUCUCAUCUUGACACUGAAGACUAUGAUUGUGCUGGCCGAAAUGCCCACAAAUAAUUGUGAAUACGUGGGAUUUUUUGGUAUGUUCUAUAUCCAUGACCCUAUACAAAGUGGUUCAGAAAUACGUUUGUGCAUCCAACAUCAAGAUUUGUUAUCUACAUUUGUGAACGCUUCGUUGGAAAGGAAAUUUUGCGAUGAUUAAUUUUCAGGCAUGGGAAGACCAAGACCCUCGAGAAAGCAUCUUGAAUCUGUGAUGGAAGGAACACUGUCUAUGGGGUUUUUAUAGAAGCAACAUUAGCAGAGAAGCUCAAUGCUUCGCAGAAAAGCAUUGAAAGUUUCCCUACAAGCCUGUGCACGUAACUUGGGAUUAUAUUUGAUGUCCAUUUUACAGUGAAUCUGUUUGUUAACAUCAUAUUUUUAGAUUCAUAUAAGGAUUGCUCAUUUCGAAGCGCAAUUCUCUUGGAAAGCUUGACUUGCUUCAGCUCUCUCCCAUAGGUGCAUAUUUCACCGCAAGAAGGCGAAGGAAAUUGUAGACACCUGGACUUCAUAGUUUCAAGGCUCCAUAGAGGAGCAGCGUGUACCUGUUUUUACAUAUUUAGCUAACCACAUUCUGCAGAUUAGUCGGCGGAAAGGUCCAGAGAUUGUGAGCGCGUUUCACACUGUUCAUUACGGCCUACUUUAAUAGCCAAGUUAGAAGUUCAACCCGCACUAUGCCACUGAGAAUGCCAAUUCAAACUUCCAGGUUUACUGAAAGUGUUUGCGGACAGAACAAUCGCGGAUGCAACAGACCAAGACUGUGCCGCAUCGAUGGACUUCUGAAGUAACAAAUGCCGUUGACUACCGUGUGGGAGUAGCACCGACCAGUCGUUCUCGUGUGAAGAAAUCAUCAAGCAGAGAGUACAACAAUCAAGCACCAAGGUAGUUGGACACUAAAACCCAUAUAUUUGUGUCAAGUGGAUCAGAAAACCGCAAGAAACACCAAUAUUAUCGAGCUCCCUGUAGAAUCAAUAGUGACGAUCCAAGCACCAAUCUCGGCACCGUCUUCAGCUGUAAGCACUGCUGCAGCGAUUGCAGCCAACUCAUCAUCAGCUGCUAUGCUAUACUUCAGUACUAUCAUCACUGGCAGCAGACGAAGCCAACAGUGGCUCAUAGUCACGCUAAAUCAGUAUGCCCCACGUUGUACACUAAACAAUAGUUGAAGGAUUUCAAUCAUGGGUUUCAGAAAAGGAUUGCGAUCAGAAAAGCAAGUUAACAGAUUUGUGAUUCGUUGAGCGGGACGCUGCAGAAAUCUUAUGAAUUUGUGUUUACGACGAGGUUGUGAACACUCAUCUUAUGAAUUUGUGUUUACAACCCCAUCACCGCCCCCUUCGAGUCGCAAAGGGAGCUUGGAGUGUCGUCGGCUGCGCCUCAUUCCAUGGCCGAAAGCUGAGCUGAGAGAGAGAGAGAGAGAGAGAGAUCGAUUGUGUCGAAUUACCUUUUCUUCUGGACCCGUGAAUAAUGGCAUUGCCAGCGACAUGGGUUUCGUGGCGAAGUUUGGAUCCAGUUUCGUUACCCGCAUGACUGACUGACUGACUGACUGACUGUGUCUGUUUGCAUGCAGCUCCAGCUCCAGCUUCCUUGCUUUUUUGUUGCUUCGUGCCGAGAGCCUGCUGAGUCUGAAUGCUCCCUGCUCUCAUGAAAUCUCACCGGUAGUGACACGUGGUUGUGAAGCUCGGCAUCUUUACCUGGUCUGCAAUUCCAGAUGGGUGUGUGCUUACGACGAGGUUGUGAGUGUUCAGUUGGCCUCGCAGGAUUGAUUCUCUCUCGCUCGCUCUUUGUCUGUAUGGCUGUCAAAGCUUGUACAUGAAAUUGCUCGUGGAUUUGUCAGCCUUUUAGGGCUGUGUUUCUAGUUUGAUGUUCUCUUUCGAUGCUUAGGUUUGAAGGGAGUAGGUUGGGUGGAAUGCUAGCUUCCGCGAAGUCCUCGUCGUGCGUAAGGCGUUUUUCGCAAAAUCAGCUUUGUCUGUUCAGCAGGAUCUGUACCAUCACGGUACUACACUUACUCUCGAUUGGAUAAUUCGGACAACGACGUGUGAUAACUCACAUGUUUGUUUGUUUGUUUGUUUGUUUUUUUAAAAAAUAAAAAAUAAAAAUUGUAACCACUGUGUAGUUUCGGUUUGGCCUGCUUGUUAGAAAUCAUCGACCUUCAGGGUCAUGUUCCUCUUUUGCUUGUCACUUCUUUGAGAACUCCAAAUGUGGAAAAUAUGAAUUUUAAGUUCGUAUUAAGCUGGUUGGUUAGUAUUCAUGCAUGGGUUUAUGGGUGGGAUCUGGUAAUUUCACGUAGGCGUUGCUUCUCAGUCUGGUUGACAUUGAACGUUGGCAUCUUUAAACGCGAGGAUAAACCUGGUGAUCUGCAAUUGAGCUCAGAAUGUGCUCAUUCUAUUCUUUCAUGCGAGCUGAAUGAAAAAACUUGUGUGUUUUUGGUUUGUUUGCACAGGAUUUCUCCAAGUUUGGGAUAAUAGAAACAAGCAAUUUGAGUGCAUUAGCAGAUUCAACAACUCGUCCAGAAGUGUUUAUGAGCCGACAAUUUACUGUAAGCGUUUCUUUGAUCGCAGUUUGAGUCUUCAAAUCCACGUAAUUGUAUAUAUGCAGUGUUGUGUUUUUCUGAGGUAGUGUGUGGCAUUUUCGUCGAAGAUCUGUAAAUCCUCGGUUGUACGACUCAUGGGGUUGUUUGGUGCCGACACAUGAAUUCGAUAUCGAGAAAUUUCAGUAAUUGAUUUGAUUUCAUGGCAACCGAAAAGCAUCAAAAUGCGCACAUUUUUCUUAUUCAAACCAAAAAAACAACGGUUUACAGGACUUCUUCUGUAAUUGCCGUCAUUACCGUUCUGAUUGAGUCCAAGGCAAAUGCUAUCAGCUGGUGCAAGUUUAAUUACUCAUAGACGGGUCACAAUGCCUAGCUUUCUAUCGAUCUGAUGCGAUGGCGUGAAACAUUCAAGACCAUAUAAUGUAAGGUAUGAAUUCUAAAUGAUGCGAUUGUGCGGUAGGCUCAGUUUUUGUGACUUCGAUGUGAAAACAACUUUGCUAAUAGCGAAGUGGUCAUUGUUCAAAGCAGAGAACAAUGGCUAGCAGUGCCCCGUCGUGGAGGCUGCAGACAGGACAGUAGUGCCAGGACUUCGUGAGACUUUAUGGAAACAACAAGAUCAAAAAGUGACAUUUCCGAAGCUACAGAAGGAUGCGAGUUUUGAUGUAAUCGUAGUUGGAGCAGGCAUCUCUGGGCUUAGCAUUGCGUAUAAUUUGCUGAAGGCAGGGAAAAGUGUCAUAGUAAUCGAAUCCCGAGUAGUUGGUGCGGCAUGGCAGGCAGGUCGACGGCUCACAUUAUGCCUUGGUUCGAUGACCAUUAUCACUUGGUGGAGAAAUUUCAUGGUUUCCAGAAUGCUAAAUAUGUGGCUGACGGUUACACAAAGGCCAUUGACUGGAUUGAGCAGACUGUGAAUGAAGAGAAAAUCAACUGCAAUUUUUCUCGUGUUGAUGGAUAUCUCUAUCCGCACGACGACUCCGUAGGUACUCGAGACAAGUUGCAUAAGGUUUGUUAAAUUCGACAUUUCACUCUUAGGUAUCUAUGAAUGGAUUUUAAUGUUAGAAUGCGAUUUAUUACCCUCUCAUAUUGGCUGGGUAAUGUGGCUUAACAAAGUACUAGAUGUGAUACACAGGAAUUUGAUGUUUGCAAGAAGCUUGGCCUCAACGUUGACAUGGUAGAUUUGGGUAAAGAUCCAUCUAGUGGAGGCAUCGGCACUGCCAUGAGGUUUCCGAAUUCUGGACAAUUUGAUCCCAUCAAGUAAGCUUCUGUGUAAAAUUCCUUAUUCAAUCUGAUUCUAAAAGUUCAAUGUUGCGUUCUUGAAACCACUAAUCGUGAAUGUCAUCGAAGCUUGUUGAUUCUGAAACUGUCACAUCAGGUAUGUCAAUGGGCUUGCCAAAGCCGUAGCUUCCAAGGGAGGGAAGAUACACGAGACAACAAAAGUCGGCAAGAUUGAGAACAAUCAGGUGACCACGGAGGAUGGGAUUGUAGUGACAGGGGGAGAUGUGGUUUUGGCUACAUUUACACCACUUCAUAGAGAACAGCUCAUUCACUCCUUCCAGCAGCCGGAGUUAUACUACGCCAUUGGCCUCAAGCUACCAAAAGGAUCUGUAAAGUAAGUCCAACAGGACAAUGAUUUUCAGAAUUAUUGUGUAUGUUUUCCAUAAGGACAUAUAUUUGAAGGUGAAUAUUUAUUUGGUUGCGUUGCUGACAUACAUAAUCUCCGUGAACAGGAAAGCCCUGUGGUGGGACACAGCUACUCCAUGUCACACUGUUCGGAUUGAGGAGAAGGAGGAUUAUGACGUCUUACUCGUGGCUGGUGAGUAUCACAACGCGGGGAAGAAAUCUGUGGAAUAUCUUGAUGCCUAUUCCAUCCUUGAGAAAUGGGCUAAAGAUCGGUGGACAUCUGCUUGUGAAGUGAUUUGCAAAUGGACUGGUCAGGUGAGUAUUUUGAUUGAUGUGAAAAUUACUCUCGCUUGACAGAUCACUCUGACAGAGUAGAACAAACGGAAAUAGGUUUAAAAGCAAUAAGACUACGCACGAUUUAGUUCUGUAAAUGUCCUCACGCAAGUGAUGCAAUCAGAUCUGGGUGUCUACGUUGCAGGUUUAUCAGCCCGUGGGCUAUGUACCAUUGAUCGGGCCUGACCCGUUGGCAGGCAAGACUGGUGAUUUAAUAGCUUGGGAUCAGCUUGUCGUCACGGGUGUGCAUUCUUGACACACUAUUCUAUAACAUUUCUUAUUUGGGUUUAUCCUAUUUCUUGCGAUUCUCAUCUUUAUAUAUAUUUUUCUUAGAACUCUGAACACUAGAGUCUGCGAACUUUACACUCUGUGAUGAAACACUUCUAAUGUCUUAUAAGUAGCCUUAUGGACAUGAAUGAGCGUGACUAAACUUCAGGUUUUAUGGAAAUGUAGGCGACAGUGGACAAGGUAUAACCUCUGGAACCAUUGCUGGAAUACUCAUUACAGACAUGAUAACUAAAAAGGAUAAUCCAUGAGCUGAAGUUUAUUCUCCUAAAAGGAGAGCUAAAAUCACCAAAGAAACUGUUACUGGCACUGGAGUUCGAAUCUGGAACACCAUUGAGGUUAUUACUCCUUCUCUCCUCCCCCACUGCUUUCUAAUUCUUCAGAUAAUCAAUAUAUUCCUCACUUUCAUAACAUGAUACUUUAUAAUUGAGUACUAUCAGAAAAUUGCAACUCCUUGCAGACACAACAAAGAUCUAUAAAUAUGAUUUGUUAUUGGUCGAUUAGUCUAUAUUCGGAAGCGUACAAGCUCAUAUUCCUCACAGAAACUUUUUCGGGUGCAGGGCAUCAAGGACUUGCUGCCAUUCGCAGGUUCAGACAGUGUGGAUAUCGAAGAUCUUGCCCCUUGUGGCGGGUGCGUUGUUCAGUCGGGUGCGAGAAAAAUGGCCGUCUACAAGGACGAGAAAGGCUGUCUACACAAGUUCUCAGCUAUAUGUCCCCAUUUAGGAUGUGUUGUGAAGUGGAACCCAGUUGACGGUGUCUUCAACUGUCCUUGCCAUGGAUCCAUCUUCGAUCACCAUGGAACUGUGAUCAAUGGUCCUGCCAAUGAUAACCUUGCCGCAUUAGAUUAGACUGUAUCCCAAAUUCAAAUAUUGGCACAUAAUGUACUUACCCCGUUCGCCUUGACCUUGUGACGUUGACUCGUGAUAAUAAAAUAGGGAAACCACUGUUUGUCGGAUGCCUAGAUCUCAACAUCACGAGUUACUGGAAUAUAACCGGGCAUCGGUUAUAUGUUGUGAUGUAAAUUGUAAGUAAAAUGUAGAAACUUUCUCAGUGAGUGUGAGUUAUGUUGUUGUGUCAGUGUGUGCCUCGAAAAGUGUAGAAACGCACCCUCUAGAGCGUUAUCAGAAUUCUUACUCAUAUGCGUUAAAGCAUUGGAUACUACUUGAAUGGUACGUUUUACUGAACAGAUCGUGUAGAGGGUGAUUAGUUUUGGUAUGAUCUUCACAACGGUGGACUGUAAACGAGUUAUUCUUGGCUCUUACAAGCUUGUUGUUAGCAGAUGGUUUUGAAGUUAACUUAGGACAUAUUUGCUCCUUGGUGGAUUUAAAAAGCUUGAUUGGAUUUGUAGAGCAUCCGAAAUGUUGCUGAUAAUCAACGUUUGACAACGAUAUUUCAAUUUGCUACAUUAGGAUGAGCACAAUGAAGGAGAUAUUUCAACCACCUCGGUUUCAAGCCUUUCCAAGUUUUGAGCAUUGCAUUUAGAUGUAUUACUUUACAAUUGUGAAACAAAAUGAACUUUGUACAUACAAUUUAUUCUAUUAGUUUGAUAAAUUUUUGGCAAAAAAAAUGUUCAAGUGUGUGUUACUUUUUUUCUAUAAAGUUUUUUGUAAUUACGCAAUGAUGAAAUAAUGAAUACUAAUAAAAAUUUCUAGACAACCAUACUCAUCUUACAAGGAAUUUAGUACAAAUUGAAAUCUCAUCGAAUAUAGUUAUGAAAUCCUUGACUAAACUCAGGUAAAAAUAUUGACUUGUUCAGAAUAAAAAGAUUAAGUUUUAAAGUUUUAAUAGAUACAUACAUGAGUAGUUGUGUAUAUAUAUAGUUGCUCUGCAAUAAAUAAAGAAUUAAUUCAAAUAUAUAAUUCAAUUGGUUAGAAUACACUCUCUUUAGACACUAAUUUAUGAAUUAUCAAGCAACAAAAAUUUAGGACAGUUACAGUGGAUUUAUAAAAAAACAAAAAAACAAAAAAAUAAAAAAUCACAAGCUAACAUUAUUUAACAAGUCCAGUAAAAUUUUCAAACGAAAACUAUGAAUUUGGUUAUUGUUUCCACCAAUCGAAAUAUCUCUGCUACAUACCUACAUUAAGAAGUUGCUUAAAAUGACAACGCGGUGUGCAAAAAAUCAAGAACAUAUCAGUACCGUGCAAAAUUAUUCAAAAAUUUCUAUAUACACCUAUUAUAUAUAUAGUAAACUAUUAUGUCAAUAAAAAAUUCAGCUUAACAUAGAAUACAGGCUUUCUAAAAACUGAUGUAGAAUAAAAAGAUGUCAAACAAUGGGAGGGUUGCGAGAGCAGCAGAGGUUUUCUUAUUUGGGGGGGGGGGGGUUCACGAAGGGAUAACUCCUAGUGUAGGGUUGAAGAAUAAGGAUGGUGUGUACUUCUAAUAAAUGCUUGUGAAGCUGCAUAUCUCGUCAUACUUGGUUGAACUCCUGUAUUCAUCUCUUCCCAAUCUUCAGUUCAAACGCAAAACAUAUCCUGGACUGAAAUAGGGCUCUGUUAGUCUACAAAGGUCAUGUUAAUGACAGUACAGAGAAGCUUCAAAUCAUUAUAGUUUCUUCCCUGCCAAAUUAGACUAGUAAUUUUGGGAGGGUUGCGAGAGCAGCAGAAGUUGUUUUUUUUUUUUUUUUUUUUUGGGUGGGGGUGGGGGUGGGGGAGUUGCACCAUCGCAGUUGGGGGAGAAGAGGAAGGCGGGGAUAUGGAGGUGGGGGUGAGACGGGACUGGCACGACUAUACUUGAACAGGAUCUGUUCUACAGUCCGAACACCUGAACUCUGCUCUCCAACACGAACAAAACCUUCAACCCAGACGAUGAUUCAGGGCUCCCCGGCUUGAGCGCGUUUGCGCUGCACCGGGUGCUGUGCCAGUUACCAGUGGCCCUGCUGGACUCAUGUGCGGGGUGGAUGGGCUACUGUGUGUAGCCAGCAGCAGCUGCAGCAUCUGCCAGAUGAGCGUCCCGCCCUCUCUCAUAUUCAUAUUCCCGGGGGCGGUGAUGGCCGGAGAGCGUUCUGACGGGGCCACCCUCCCCCACUCUCUCAAUCCCUCCGCACAUCUCUCCCCCUUUCUCUUCUACUACUUACUGCUUGUAUUGUUCGUCGACGGUCUUGUUUGCGGGCGGGUGCCCAGGGAAUCAGAAGUUGCCUAAUAUUAUACGGUGUACUGAGAUCGACAUGAGCGUAGUCGCUUUGGCCGAGUGGUUAAGGCGUGUGCCUGCUAAGUACAUGGGGUUUCCCCGCAAGAGUUCGAAUCUCUUAGGCGACGAUUGAGUGACACCUAGAAGCAUGCAUAAGCGUAUGCAUGGACUGCCGCGACUGAAACGCUCUCCCAUUCUUUUUACUUUACUGACGCCCUUGUCGCCCUUGUUCUUGUCCCCGCCACUUCACCUCUUCUUCUCUUCCUCCUUCCUUUCCUUCUUUCUUUCUUCCUCCCCCUCCCCCCUCUCCUUUGCAUCUUGUCCUGCAAUACCACUCAUUUAACUUCUCUCUUUCGUUUUUCCAACACACUCUCUCUCAUUUAUUCAUAGUUCCAUCCAUUUUUCUAUUUCCUCCAAUCAUGCACUUGGUUGUAAAAUCUCUUCUUCUUUUGUAUCUACAUGUACAUGAAUAAAUGGCUUCCUUCUUUGCAAGCCUGGCUUUACCAAUGCAUCACACAAAAAUAAAAAUUAUAACAUGUAUGGCAAAGAAAUUAAAUUGAAAAUGACAUUACAACAUCAUUGUUUAGAAAAAGGUUUGUAAUCAAAUCAUCCACCUCCACUCUAAUCUAAUCCAAGUUAUCUAAAUAUAAUUUCAAAAGCUGUGCUAAUAUCUAAUGGAACGCUCAUAUUUAGUUUGUACUUCGAAUAAAUAUAGAAUGUAAUACCUUCAUAGGCAUUUUAAGUAUUUAAUAUAUAUUAUUACUUAUGCCAAUGGCCAUUUGAUGCAAUGAAAUAUUUGUAGUGCCUUUUUAUAUCAUACACCACAUUUAUGCUAAACAAACAAAUUCAAUAAGUAUAUAAUUAAGAUAAAUAUAAUCAUUUUUGAAGAUUUUGCAUUAGUAGAAGUGGAUCUUUUUAAUUAUUGGUUUUUUGUAUGAAGUUUGCAAUACAUGCACAUCAUCAUCAUAUAUUGAUUAUAAGUGUGCCAUUUUAUACAUACAAACAUGCAUUUAUGUUGGUGGCAUAAUGUAAUAAAGUUUUGGAGUUAUAACAAUAUUGGAGAUUAUUUUUGAAAUAAGUGGCAAAAGAAAAUUGAAACAAAAGUGUAAUUUAAAAAUUUCAUAGCCCAAAAGACAUGCUAUUUGAUCCAAAGAGUAAAAAGUUGAUAUGAAAGAUGAAAGUUUGACAAAGUGAAUGGAAUGUUUGAUAAAAACAAAAGGAGUUCAAAUAGCUACAAAAUAUAGAAAAAGCUAAAUAAUUUAAUCUUGUGGUAUAAUUUCUUAUAUAAAUAAUAAAUAAAUUUAUAUAAUUGAAAUAAGACAUGAAGAAAUAUAAUAUUUAAAAUUGAUCAAAAAUAUUUUUAUAAUUUUUUUAGUAUUUUUUAAAUUUAUAUUAAAAAAGAUAUUUAUUACUAAUUUAUAAAUAUAAAUAAAAGAUUGAUUAAAUUAGUAUAAAAUAAAAUUUUAUAAAAAUAGAUUUAAAAUAAUUAGUUUAGACUUUAUAGCUUGAAGUGGUCUUUAAAAAAUACCAAUCUAAAGUUGUUAAGGUAUUAUCUUCAAAUAAUAUUAAGUAUAUUUCAGAAUAUAAAUUAACUGUAAUUGAAGAAAGUAGAAGGUAAUAACUACAAUCCAAGCAAGUAUACUACGUGCAAUUUUAAAAAAACUCUUAUUCUCUUUGUUUUCAUGUACCAAGGUGUUUUGUAUUUUUAUUUUUGUUUUUAUUUUUAUUUAUGUCUAAUUACUUUUAGUAGGUUAGAUGCAUAAUCUUUCAAGUAUUGCAUUAUAUUGGAGAGUAAGUAGUAAAAUAUAGACAUUAUAAAAGAUUUUCUAAUCUAAAGGAUUUUGAAUUGAUUUACAAACUUUUAAUAGGAAAAAUAUAUAUAUAUAUAUAUAUAUAUAUAUAUAUAUAUAUCUUUUUAGAGUGAUAUGGUUAUUUUCAAAAUAGAAGUAAAUAUUAAGAAGACCUUUGAUUCUUAUAAUGGUGCUAUUAUAAAAGGUUAGAGAGGUGACGUAUAUUUGGAAUAUCCAAAUGCUCUAUUAAAAGCUAAAUUGAUUACUAUUGGCAUUAUUUAAUAGUUGUUAUAUUAAAAAAGUGUAUAAUUUAUAACAUGUGGGAUGAAAGGAUGGUAAAGCUAAAGAUAUUUUGAAUUAAAUAAAUUCCAAUAUGGAUUUUAAUAUGGAAAAUUAAAAAUUAAUUGUGAUGAAGAAAUGGAAUCAACAUAAGAACUAGCAAAAAAAAGGAUUCAAAGCAAUAUGAAAUAUUCAAAUGGACUAACAACAAGGAUAUACAAUUAAAUUGUGUUGAUGCAAUUAUAUAAAGAAGAAAAGAGAAUAAGUAUAAAAAUAAAAGACAAUGAAUGAUACUUACAAUAAAUUUUUUUUUCUUUUGAUGUUACAUAAGGUUUUUAAUAAAAAAUCACAACAAUUAUUUCUUUUGAGUAGAAUUUUUGUCUUCAUAGAUUAAUUAUCCUUUAUUUGUAAUAUUAUCUUCUUAAUAUAAAAAAAACUUAAUUUUACAUUGUAUUUAUUUUAGAUAUUAUUUUUAGAUUACAAUUAAAAUUUAAAGUACUUAAUAAUAUCAAAUUUAAAGAUAUUAUUUAAUAUUUUAUUGAAAAAAAUUGAAGUAACAAUAUAUAAUAUUAGUAAGAUUGCAUACAAAGAGAGUAUGGAGUUAGAUAUCUCUUACUUCCAACAUCCAUUAUUUAUAGGUGGUGGCUAUUGCCCUAAUGGACAACUUCCAUCUUUUGAUGAAUACAUCCAUCUAACGUUCUAUCAAGACUAUCCAUUGAUAUCUUAUCUACUAUAAAAAUAUACUUUUAGCAUAUCCUCUAUAUCUUUAAGAUCCAUUGUCCAUUCAUCUAUCUUAUCUCUUGACCUUUUUACAUACCAAGAGUUAAUCUUUUGAUCAAUAGUAACUUACCUAACAUAAUAUCUGUCAAAGAUAAGAACAUGAUAAAAAUAAAUAAAUAAGUGAGACUUCUCUCAAAGAAAGAUGAUAAAAUAGAAAUAACUUAAUAUGUAUAUUAAGAAAGAAACUGGAAUGGCUAUUGCCAAAAGCCAAGAAAAUUAGAGACUCUUGAAACUAGAUUGGAAGGAAGAAAAGAGUUGACAAGAGUGAAGAAGGCUUCACUCUUAUCUCUAUAUAUACUAUCUAACUAGGGGCUACGUGGCGAUGUUCUAUAGGACCUCAAUAUGUGUUGACUUUGUAGGACACAUGCCUUGACUUACAAGGCAAGUUUUUCUACGUGUGGGCCACAUAGUUAGCUUGGUUUUCAAGCUAACAACAUGUGUGGUACAUGGCCAACUUGUUGACCACAUUUCUAAUCCAAAAAGUCAAUUUAAGACACCUAUAAAGUCAAUGUAGCAUCUAUGAAGCUUCUAAGAAGCUUUGAUAGUAAAUAUUAUAGAAUUAACUUAAUUUUACUUAGUUUAACUUACUUCUAUCUAUUUAUACAUGUAAUUACUAGCUUACAUACGUAUAUCCAUGACAAUAUCUUAUACAAUGUAACUUAUUAUACUUUCAUUUUUAUCUUUUUACUUUAAUACUCUCACUUUAUUAUUGAUUAAAGGCUUUCAAUCCUAAUGCUUUUGUCAACAUAUAAUGUCUAUCCUUUAUUAAUGCCUUUUGACAAGAAAUGAGCAAGCAUGUCUUCUAUUGUAUAAUACUUUAUAUCAAUUACUUUCAUUUCAAUUUUUUACCUUAUGAAAUGAUGUUGAAUGUCAAUGUGCUUGAUCUGUGAAUGAUAUUUUGGAUUCUUUGUAAAUACAAGAUAUUCUUGAUUGUCACAUCUCAUUGAAGUUUCUUCUAUUUGUACUACUGUUAUGUCCUCCAAAAGAUAUCUUAGCCAUAUUGCUUCCAUUACACCAUGGCUUACUGCCAUAUAUUCCACCUCCAUUCUUGACCUUAUAAUUAUUGGUUAUUUCUUGAAAUUCUAUGAAAUUGCUUUCAUUUCAACAAAAAAAACAUAUCCUAUUAUUGACCUUCUAUUAUUUGUAUCUCCACCUUAAUUUACAUUAGAAUAACUAUACAGAGUAAUGUUAUUACCUUCAAGGUAUAGUUUAAAAUAUAAAGCAUCUUUUAAAUACUUCAUGAUCUUUUUGAUGGUUACUCAAUGAAUUGGUUUAGCCUUUGACUUGUAUUGAUUCACAAUACUUAUCACAUAUCCAAGAUCCAUCUUUGUGCCAACAAUUAUAUAUAUAAAUGAGUCCACUGCUACCUUAUAUAAAAUACCUUACAUUUGAUCUUCAACUUUAGAAAAUUCUUCAUCUGUGAACUUCAUCAACUUCAAAUUGGCCUCCAAAGAUCUACCUAUAGGCUUAAACUCUUCUAUAUUGAAUUGUUUCAACACCUCUUCAAUGCACUUGCUUUGGCUCAUUAUAAUGGUCUUUUUAGUAUAAUUUUUUACAAACUCUAUUCUUAAACAAUAAUAAAGUUCUUCUAAAUCACUCAUCCUAUAUUCUUUUUUUAAUUUUACCUUCAAUUAAUCCAUUAUUUUUAAAUUAUUGAUUAAAAUAAUCAAAUCAUCAAUAUAAAAGAUGAUAAUUAAUAUGAAUUCAUUUGAUUGCAUUAUAAACAUAGAAUGAUCAACCUUACUUCUUUGAAAUUCUUCAUUUACAAAGAAUAUAUCAAUAUGUUGAUACCAUGCCUUUGGUGAUUGCUUGAGAAUAUAUAAGGAUUUUUUCAACCUACAAACAAGAUGCUAUUUUUUUUUUAAAACAUCCUUGAGGUUGGUCUAUAUAGAUGUCUUCUUCUAACUUUAUAUUUAAAAAAGCCAUCUUUACAUCCAUUUGAUACAUCUCCAAGUCCAUUGUUGUCCCAAUUAUUACAAUGAUUUUAAUAGUGGUGAAUUUGGCCAUAAAAGCAAAUAUCUUAUUGAAAUCAAUACAAACAACUUAUGAAUAGCUUUUAGCAACUAAUGUAGCCUUAUAUCUCAUAAUACUAUAUAUUGUAUCUUUCUUGGUUCUAAACACCCACUUAUAACCAAUUGAAGAUUGAUUUGGUAGAAGUUGAGACAUUUUUUAUGUUCUAUUGUUUAUAAGUGAUUUGUAUUCUUCUUCUUAUGUAUUCUUUUAUUUCAUAGCAUCCAAGGACUUCAUUGUAUUACAAAAACUCAAUGAAUUAACAAAGAGUGCAACAUUGGUUUAUUUUUCACUUAUUUAAAAAAAGAUGUGGUUCUAUUAUCAUUCACCAAGUUGUUUUCUAUCUCUCAAAAGUUAUUUUCUUUCACUUGAUAAAGAUUCAUCUUCUUGUACUCCAAAGUUUCUUGCAAAUUUUUUCUUUCUUAAAGCUUGUUUCUUCGCAAUUAAUUGUUAAUAUUCAUCAUCAUCUUCAACAUUUUAAUUGACUUCAUUGCUAGUUCUACCAAUUGUAGAUAUGUUUUGAUCUACCUUCUUUGGUUCUUUAUCUUGAUUUGUAUUUCCACCACCUUCAUUGUCAUCAUCUUUUUCUUCUUUCUUUGUUAGAAUUAAAGAUGUAUCCACAAACACCAUUACUCCUACUUGGAUACAUCUCUAAGUGCUUACAAGCAUUCUUAUACUCCAAAAAUUCUACAUCACAAUUCUUGAUGAUUUUCUUGAUUUCUAAACACAUAAGCCUAUAUACUUUUGUAUCUUCUUAAUAUCUAGCAACUACAUAUUUUGUACCUUUUGCAUUAAGUUUGGACCUCAUACAAUUGGAUACCUUUGUAUAAGUAAUACAUCCAAAAAUCCUCAUCCAUGAAAUAUAAGAUUUCUUGCCACUCCAAGCUCCUUGUAUAAUUAUUUAUUUAAGUGCUCUUAUAAAGCAUCUAUUUCUUGUAUAUACUACAAUAACCAUAGCUUUCGCUCAAUAUUCAUGCUCUAGGUUAUGAGCAUGAAGCAUAUUCAUUGAUAUUUCUGCAAUGGUAUGAUUUUCUCUUUCAACAACUUUAUUUUGUUGUAGAAUAUAAAAAAUAGAGGUUAGUCUUGCAAUACCUUGAUUCUUCAAAAAUUCAUCAAAAUGCUUUGAUAUAUACUCAUAUCCAUUAUCCAUAGGCAACACUUUGAUCUUGCACUUACAUUGCUUCUCCACAAGUGCUUUAAAUUCUUUAAACCUUGAAAAGCAUUUACUCUUAGAUUUGAGGAUGUAAAUCCAUACUUUACUUGAAAAAUCAUCAAUAAAUAUAACAAAGUACCUUGCUACUCCAAUUGAUGGUAUCUUUAUUGGUCCACAAAUAUCAAAAUGCACAAUCUUCAAUAAUUUGUUAGAACAUGUUAUAAUUCCUCUUGGAAAUGAAGUCCUUUAUUAUUUGCCUUGGAUAUAAUCUUUAUAAGCAAGUAUUAUGGCAUUAUAGUUGAAUUAACUAAGAUUUAAGCUACUUACCAUGGAUUAGAGCUCUUUCAUACUUUUGGCAUUCAAAUGAUCAAAUCGUUGAUGUCAAAUUCCAAACUUAUCUUGAUUUUGUAGAAACUCAGGAAAUGUCACUACUCCUUAUUACCUUCUUAUUUACCUUCUUACAAUUGAUAAAAUAGAGGUUUCUAUCUCUUAUGCCUUUAGUAACAUGUUGUCUAUUUAAUGUCUUCACAAAACAUCUAUUCAUGCCAAAUUGAAACUUACAAUCAUGCAAUAAAAGUUUGCUCAUUGAAAAAAAGUUUUUCCUCAUUUUUGACACAUGUGAGACUUCCUUCAAUCUGAUCCUUUUCAUUUGGUUUUUUAUUACAAUCUCUACCACAAUGGAGCCAAUUCCAAUGAGUUAUAUCAUGCCAUUGUCUUCCAACUAAACAUUUGUUAUGAUACAUGUGAAAAAUUGAUAUCAUUAAGUUUUAUUGCAAUCAUGUCAAAACCCUUUUUUUUACAAUAUUUUUAGUUUUUUUUUACCUUGACAUUAGCAUUAUUGGAUCUUUGAGACACUUUUAUCAACAAUGUCUCAAAAAUCCAAAAUACCUCUUUUGUAAUUAAAUCAAUGCUUUCACUCUUUAAUCACUUUUAACUCUCACAAGAAUACUUUUAAUCUCACAAUUGCCUUCUUAGUACUAUAAGAAGACAUCUUAAGAAAUUUAGGCCAUAAUAGUAUAAUAUUAGUGCACCAAUGAUGUAACUUAACAAAGAAAUAUAAUAUUAGUAUUCUAUAACAUCAUUCUAAGGUAGUUGAUACCUUUGAAGAUAAUGAAUGCAGUUAACAAGUAAGAGAAAAAUUACAUUAACAACUAGAUGCAAAAGAUGGUUUAGAAGACAUCAAACUUUAAUAUCAACAACAACUGUAAGAUCUACUCUUCACAAUAAGAAAGACUUCAAAGAACUUCAAAAUUUAAAACUAAAGGUGUGUGGAUCCAUAACCUAUUGAAGCAAAAGAACUUUGAAGUAAGAACACAUAGCAUCAACAACAUUGCACACAAAAAGAGUAUAAAACAAGAUAUCUCUCACUUCCAACAUUCAUUACUAAUAAGUGGUGGCUGUUGCCUUAAUAGAUAACUUCCAUCCUUUGAUGAAUACAUCCAUCUAACAUUCUAUGAAGACAAUCCAUUGAUAUCCAAUCUACUUUAACAAUAUGCCUUUAGCAUAUUUUUUAUAUCCUUAAGAUCCUUUAUUCAUUCAUCUACCUUAUUUCUUAGCCUUUUUAUAUACCAAGAGCUAAUUCUUUGACCAGUAGCAACUUACCUAAUAUAAUAUCUUCUCUAAUAUAAUUUAUUCUACUUUUAUUUUGAUUUACUUAUUUAUUUUAACAUAAUUCUAAUAUAGAUUUUUAAUAUCAACACAUUAUAAUUUGUUUUAAGACUUUGUUUGAAGAUGCCUUAUUUUUUAAAAAAAUUCAAUUAGAAAUUGAUAUUGUAUUAAAAUCAACAAAAACCAAGAAUCUUCUAUUUAAUAUCACAAAGUAAUUUAAUUACACAAGAAUAAUAUUAUGUACCAAUUUAUUUAAAAUUAGAAGCAUUUAUUGGUAUUUACACAAAAACUAGAUGUAUAAAUGUAAAUUUAUUUAGUAUAUUAUAUUAUAUUAUAUUUUUUUAAAUUGAGACUUUUAUUUUUAUAAAACUUUAUAUAUAUAUAUAUAUAUAUAUAUAUAUAUAUAUACAUCUAAUUAAGAACUCAUAUUGAAGUUUUAAUGUUGAAAGUCCUUGGUAUGUCUUUAGGAUCCUAUUUAGCUUUUUGGUGUCAUAAACAUUUCUUAAAGAGAAGUAGAAAACUUUCAUUUUUAACAAACAUACUUAAUAUUAAUAAGAAUGUUUGUUAAUAUUAUGUUUUCUUCUUUAGAAUAAGUUUUAAACUAUAUAUUCUAAGAAAAUUCCAAGUUGUAAAGACAUGAUUAGAUAGUUUAAUUGUUCACCAUAACAUUGCAACUUCAAGCUUUGUAUACUUUAAACCUACUUGCUUAAAAAUGUAUGAUUAAACAAAAGAAACAUAGAUUUGUAGAAUUCAUUAGAGAUAAUUUCAGUUAAUGUUUAAGGAGAAAACAUUCACUUUGGCAAAUAUGAAUUAAUCAAUCAAUUAUUUAAUCCAAUAAUGAUCUUUACAAAUUUGAUACUUUUAAAUUGUGAUUACAAUACUUCUUGAAAAUAAAACACACAUGGAUACUCCUUCAAAUAUUCCACAGAAGCAACAAAAAAUAACAAUAAAUCUGAACUACAGUGCUAGUCAACAAAUGGAUUGAUAAGAAAAUAUGAGGUACAUCCGUCUUUGAGAAAAGCAGGUUGGCAACGUAUGUUUCGAUUCACAGAUUGGAAGUGCUUGCCCAAUUCCUGAUAGAAGGCCGUGACAAAAUCUCAGCGAAGGGCUUCAAUUUCACAUCUGAAUAACGGUGAAGCUAGCACUAGUUGCAUGAGAAGGGCUUGCUGAACCCUUUCAAAUCUCAAGUAGUAUCAACAACUUCCAGCUUCAAGAGAACGUCCUUACUGGCGCAUUUGCUUCUCAAAGCUGUGAAGAAACUCUGUCAUUUCUAUUUUUAUCUGCUGCUCGAAGGUUAGGGCAGCUUCAUGCUGUUGCUUUUGAAACUGUACACGCCGCUCAUGGUGCUUUUGUUCCAGUUCCUUGAGCUUGUUUUCAAAGUCUUCAGCCUCCAGCAAACUACCUUCCACUUUCUUUGUCAUUUGUAAAAUUUCAUUGGCCAUCCUGCACAAUAAAACCAGGUUCUCAACCAUAUGCCAAUCAUCACCAGAUAUACUUUUCAAAUACUGCCUAUAAGGUAAAGUCCACUAAAUUCGGCGAGUUUUGACAGGUUGUAAAUGAUUAACUGUGCAGGAUAGUAACGGAGACAUCGGUAAAGUAAUGGCUUAAUAUGACAAGAUUUGACAAGCAAUCUUAAACUAAUAUAACGAUGAUAGAAGUACAAGGAAAGCCAGAAUCUUACGCUGGAUCCUGGUCGAUGUUGGGAAGAUUAGAACGUAGAACAUUCAGUUCAUGAGAUUGGUUCAAGGCAAUCUUGUGAAGGUCGUCUCUCAGCUUUUGCAACUCACUAUCCUUGGCAGCAACCUCAUUUGCCCAUUGAGCACUUUCUUGUUGAAAGAACUCCUCCAUGUCAGCUAGCUGUGUCAAUAUAAACAAUAUGGAUUAUGAUCCGUAAACAUCUCGAUAUACUCUCUGUAAAUCUUACACCUGCUCAUCAUAAAUCACAAAUAAAGAUAUCCCUACAACCUUAAUAGCCGCCAAAACUUUUCACUAAAUCAUCACCUCACGCUUGUUCUCUGCAUGCUGCUUCCCUUGCCGGUCCCACAAAAUUUGCAGCUCUUCCUCACGGAGCUGUAAGUUUUUCGAUGUCUCAGAUACAGACUUCUUAAGAGUGUUUUGUUCGAUCUGAAGUGAUUGUAUCAGUUGAUUCUGCUGUUCCAUGCGCUGCAUUGGUUCCAGUACCACUUGCUGGAGCUUCCUCAACUCAUACUUCAACAGCGUCUUCCCUGUUCAUCAAUGUAUGAUCCAAUAAACACUAAUCAACAGUUAUAAACUAACCAAACAAAGACUAUUAUCCUACAAGAUUAGCAGAGUUGUCAAUUUAACAAAGGAGAUGAAUCAAGUACCUCUGCUGUGUCUGUUGAAGAUAUCCAGGUCGUCUUUAAUUGCUAAGUACCCAUACAAAAUCCGCUCGCCUCCUGGUUUAAACAGGAUCUUACCGGGACGUUGCCAGUCAUCUCUACCUCUCCGUGAAUUCGCAAAAUGAGUAGCAAGACGCACUGCAUCAUGGUAACCAAUAGGUGAAUCCGGGAAGAUGAGCAGGCUCAUACCACGGUGACCCUGGGGUCCAUACGCAUGGCGGGGCUUCAGCGGAUUGUAGUCCUUGAACAUGUCUACAAGCUCCUUGUUUCCCAUUCCAAUCCACUGUAUCAAGCGCAAAUAAACUCACCACAUGUCAAUCAAUUCCUUUACAUCCCUCUGUUCUCUAUCACCUUCUAUGCUUUAUCAUUCUCUUGUAUUUGUUAACAAGCAAGGCUAACUUGACUGAUUCAGUACGCACCUUUCCUUCGUCGUCUUGCUCCAGCUGAGUAUUCUGGAUGACCAGAAUCGGAGGCCAUAUUAUCAUUUUCUGUUGCGACUCAGUAUCCUCGCUAAGUCCAUUCCAUUUCCCAAACGUGCUCUGCAAUUCAACGUUCGGUUGUGCCGAUCGCCGAAUGCGUAGCUCCUCCUCCAAAAUCUCUGCGAAUUUGCGGUGGAGCUUGACUCGCCUGGAUCUCAUGGUGCGUGCAUGGGUAGCGAGAGGAACCAGGCCUCGGAACCAGUCGAUCGCACCGGGACCGCCCUUGCAAGCAGGACAAUGCCAUUGCCGGUCAUGCUCGUUGAGCUGGGCGUCUGUCAUGCUGUCAAGGUCCUGAAAGAAGUCGCGGAACCACUUGAUCUUCUUCUGGUCCUCAUGGCUCUCCUGUGCAAAAGAAUCAUCACUGAAGAAACCAUCGUCACUAUCGUCCUCUACAUGAUCCAAGUCAGAGCACUGGCUAUCCGAGUAAGGACUGGCUGGAUACUCCAACGCUAAGUCGGUCCCAGUGUCACCUUGCUGAUAAAGAUUACCUGCCAAACAGGAAAAAGCCACAGAAAAUAGGCUAUUACGUACUAACUGAGCUCAUGGGCGACACAGAUGACCAGCUAUUUACAAAAAGAAUAUUCAGCUAAUAAGCCAGCAGAAAGCUGUCAACUGACAACACAAUCAGAAGAACCCAGUUUCAAAACUGGCAACUUUAACUACACAAAACCAGCUCAUCAUCAGAGCAGUAAGGCUACUCACUUGAUGACCCAGAAACGAGUUGUGUCGAUGCCUUGGCCCCCUGAUGCCAGGCUUUAUUGGUGAUGCCUGGAGCCCCACUUCGAGAAGAGCUUUCUGAACCAUUCCUACUCUUACUACUAACCUGCUGCCAACCAUUUUCAGGACUCAAAAGCGGCCCUUGACCAUCCCACCCUCCUCUUCCACCGUAAUCCGCAUUCGGCGCUGCCUCGUACUGCCUGAAGUUAUUAUGCUGACCCCAACCACCUUGAGGUUUGUUGGAUGCACCUCUUUCUCCAUUGAAUUCACCUCUUCCUCCGUUGAAUUUACCUCUUCCUCCUCGUCCUUCUCCUCGACGCCCUCUUCCUCCUCUUCCUCCUCUACCUGCUUCACCCUGUCCAGGGCUCCUCUCAGAGCCGCCGUUGUUCCUGUUCGAUCCUUGUCUUCCUCCACCUCUUCCAGACUGAGGGGAACCAGAGUCUUGCCUAUUCAUUGAGUUUCCCUUACGUGACCUCGCUUUAGAAGACGAGCCUGAUCUGUUAGAUGCGUUAUCAUAAAGGCUUUUUCCGUUCUUGUCUCCAUAGGAACUGUUGUACGCGGGUUGGAACUGCCAGCCAUCAACUGGGUCGUCCCAUCCGUUGGUUACGUGAGAUGGUCCUGCAAAGUGGACUAUAAUCAGAAUGAUUGCGGUGGAUAGCACCAAAUAUUAUCCUAUUUCGUCCAUUUGUUUCAACACACUUAUUUCUGACUCGAAGUGCAAAUGCCCUGAAUAUAUCCAAUACCAGAGUUCAUCGUCCAGUUCGAAUCCGCACCAUAAUUUCCACCAUCUGAAGGAAAGACCACAGCGAUUUAGGUAGACAUACACGAAAACAGAGUGACCGAUUAAUCACUGCAACAGUUUCGACGACAUUACUCCAACAGACAUCCCAAAGGUUAUGGAAUUCUCAAGAUCUUCUAUAACUACAACACCAAGAGCUCAUGUUUCGUAACCCAUCACAAUUUUAACAUCCAUGUCCAGAUUCAUAAUGAAGUACUUAAGUGAUGGCUUCGUCCUAUACGAGACGCUUCUCUAAAGACGAAAGCUGCAACAACCAAAACCUCUGUGCGGUAAUGUAUGCCCUAGAGCUGUAAAGACUGGCGGUAGAGCUCUCAUCCAUCUCUCAGCUCACAAGUACCCCAAACAGAAAAUGAAGAAACACCUUGAAACAGAAUGAAGAGCACAGUUUAACUUUGUAUCCAUACAGGCAAAUCCACCAACAGUUUUGAACAGUGCAAAAUUAGACGUGAUCAGGAUUCCUUUCUCUCCGUCAAUUUAAAAUAAAUUAAUUAACAAAAAAAAAAAAAAAAAAAAAACCAUUGGUUAUUAGGGAUCAAAUCUUACUUCCGGUUGACGCAGAACCACUAGCACCUGCCAUUGUGGGCGCUCUUUGUUCACUUCCACUGCCUGUUCAUACAAAAGAUAUGAGACUCUAAGCAACACUCAGAAGAGUUUUGUCCAUUCAACCCUAACAUGAGUCACCUACGGGACACAGGCUAGCAAUUAACCCUUGCAUGUGAAGUACUUCAAAGGGAAAAUGAUCGCAACGUACUAACCUCGAAACAGUUGGAGAAGUAUAUAUAAAAAGAAAAAAAGUGCCAAAUUUGGUUGUCAGAAUAGAAGCUUUAAAGUGCGAGCACAAUGAAAUUGUGUCUCGAUCACUGCGACGAUGAGUAUUGAAAAGAGAAGCUUGAAUAUUGCGGGAGAAGAUCAAGAGUACUGGCACAACGCGCGGAUCAAAGACCAACCGGGUCACACAUUAAGUAGGUGAGAAUUGGGGACAC